UUUUUUUCUUCUCCUUUUUUCAGCACCAACAUCUUCUUCUUAGGCAACAUGGCAGGAUAAUGUCCUAAAAUCAUGAAGAAAAGAGGGUACAAAGACUUAAGAAUUUAUAAUCGGAUGAUUGGAACCCUAGACAUACAUGUGGAUAGUUGAAUACGUACGUACUACUGAAAUUGUCAAAUUGGGAUCUGGGGGGAUGGAUUAGGUCAUCAGGAACAUGGAUGGAUCAUGGAUACAUAUACAGGCUGAAGAAACUGACAGAUGGAAUGGAUCAUGGAUUACCUCGUUGGCUCGUUGCAGACUUUGGGUUACCAGACUGCUAUGCGGUGCGCACAGCGGCAAGCCGGCAGCGGCCGAGACGGAAAGGCGCCGAGCGCCGAGUGGCAGGCAAGACGAAGAGAUUAGAGACCAACCGUCCAGACUCCAGACGAAGGAAAAGAAAAUGAGCAGCCGGUACCGAUCGCUGGCGCUAGCGUAACGCUUCGUAAUCGAUCGCAUGGGCCUCGCGCCCUAGUCCAUCUUGUUUUUUUAUCAUUUUUUGCUGGGCAUUAGUAUGUAUAUGUACUACAUCAUGGGCCCCCCUCCCGCCUGGGCCCUGGGCCGCCGCCCCACCGCCCAUGCCCCAGGGCCGGCCCUGCCAAUACUUAACGUCUUUUUGCUCGGUUCCACAAAUUGAAUGCAUGCUUGUGGCCAACCAAGAUUCACACAACAACACAUUCUCAUGGCUUGUGAAUGCUGACCAUCUUGCCUUUGGUACCUUUUUUAGUGCACAAUGUUUGUCCGACUUCAUACAUGGGGCAAUUGGUAUCACAUAAGCCAUAAUGCAUAGGCUCUUGACCAUCAUGUAUCAUGUUCAUCAUGAAUGUGUCCUACAAUAGGCACUGCAAUGAAACCACAUCCUAGAUUGAUCCAAUGGUAUGUGCAACAAACGAAGCAAGCGAUACAAUGGCAUAUGGGGCAGGAAUGUACCUGGUAUUGGUCUGGCAUAUCGUCAGGUGUGCACGCACGGCACCGGCAUUUCACAAUGUUGUCCACUACCUUUGGAGUUGGGGGUGACUCGUACACUGUGUCCGCGGCAGCGACGUCUUCUGUCAAGCCAUCCGUGAUGGCCCAUUCAGAUGGCAUAAUGGAAUUUGGUGCCUUGUUUUUUCUCGCGGUCACGACAGAUGGCACGGAGGCGGUUGCCAGACUGGACGUGCCCAUAUCCAUGUCUCAUGCCUUCUCUGCAUCUUCCCUCUCCGCAGCUACCGUCCCCGUUGCUUUCCAUGGUUGCGCCGACCCCUUCAAAUGAUGUUCUAAGCCUUGCAAGAGAUGAUGGUCGGGACCCCCACAGACUCCGCCGAGGCAUCAUCCAUGGCAAUGGGUGGGGGACGCGAUACUCGGCGUCGACAUCUAUGACGACAGACGAGGACAACAGCGUGGACGAGGAGCAAGGGUGGAUGAGAGCGAUGGCUCAGAUGCGAGAAAUGGAGGACAAACGUGGGAGGAGGGCGGUCGAUUUGGUGGACUUGGUCAAUUUGAAGUGGAUUUAGUGUUGAGUAUAAGGGUUAUUUAGGAAAUGUAGGAUAGCGUAGGAUUUAUUCUACCUUGACAUGUACUUCAAGAUGACCUUGUACUCCUAUAGAUAUAUGCCCACGAGGCUCAAUCAAUACAACGAACUAUUUCAUCAACCCUCUCUCUCCCUUCUAAUAUGGUAUCAACCUAACCGAUCCAAACCCUCGCCGCCGCCCAUGCUUCCGCCCUGCGCGCUGCCACCGCAGCGGUCAGCCGACAUGGCCGCCACCGGGGGCUGCGCCACCCGUACCUUUCGUCCGCCGGUCAUGUUGACCAGUUGCCGCCGGGUUUUCUCUCUCCCGCCUCCGCCGCGUUUGCACGGUCGGGUUUUCUCUCUCCCGGGUUUUCUUUCUCCCGCCGGUCGCUUUGAUCGGCAUUUUCUUUUUGGUCUUCCGAUCUAUGAUUGAUCGGCUUGCGUCGCCCGCCGCCGCCGUCGACCCUGUGCGCCUCUACUCCAACACCGGCGCGACCGACAGGCUUCUUCACUGACAUGCCGGCCUCGCACGACAUGCAGUCCCUCACGGCCGUCGUCCACGUGCCGGCCCGCUCAUCGAUCUACGUCGACCGUCACCGCCCUCUCCGACCCGGACACCUGCAUCGCCCUGACCCGGCGGCCUCGCACCAUGCGGCGACCCAUCAUAGCCGCAGUACGCGGGCCAGCCUGCCCAUCGAUCCAAGCCACCCGCCUCCACCGCGUUUGCACGGUAGCCCUACGGUCUACCUCGCCGGCCUCGUCCCCGGUGGCGUCAGGCUCAUCGACUAUCUCAGCUCGUGCGCCACUGCAACGUUGGUCGCUCGAGCCUCGCUGCCCAGGCGUCGGUGCUGCUUUGGCAGCCAGGGUGCCGGUCGCACGAUGUCCCACGCUAUCCGUCUUCGGCGGCUUCAUCUCAGACUCGACCGCCACCCCGCCUCCACCGAGCGGCGUCCCCGACCUCACGCGCGACCGGUUUGAUCACCCGCUCACCAUCGUGAUCUGCCUUAUCUAUGCCCCGCGACCGACCUGGCCCGUCGGUUGCUUGCGCCUCUGCAGGUCCCGUGAAGAUCGUCCCCGAGUUCAACGCGCUCCUCCAUCGAUCGAGCAAAGGGCUACCGCUGCGUCGCACCGUCGGGCCGCAGCGCCGCCGCCCCGUCGGGCCGCAGCGCCGCCGCCCCGUGGUUCUUCUCCCGGCUGGACCGACCCGUGUCACCCCGCGUCGCCCUUCGGUCUGUAGUGCCGCGGCCCGCGGUCCACCGCCGCCCCAAGGUCGUCCGCUCCAGGUCGUCCUCGUGGCUGCAUCGACCCUCGCGCCACCGCUGCAUUGCCCCGUCGGGCCUUAGCGAGCGUGGCAUGUGGUCCUCGCUGCUGCCCUGAGGUCGUCCCCGCGGUUGUAGCGACCCGCGCGUCACCAUUGUGUCGCCCCUUCUGGCCGUAGUGCAGCGAUACACGGUCCCCGCUGCCGCCCCGAGGUCUUCCCGCCGUCGCCCCGACCUGCCCGCCGCCACUGCAUCGCCCCUUCGGGCUGUAGUGCUGCGGCCUGCGGUCCCCUCCGCCAUCACCAUGUGUCGACCUCCCAUGAUAUGCGCCGCGCCGUCUCCCUCGGCACGGGAACGCCACCGUCCGUGCCAAUCUUCGUCACGCUAUCGGGUUCUUCGCCUCCUUCGAGCACCGCCGCCGCGCUCCUAACCUAGCCGCCAUCGCUGCUCUUCUUGGGCCGCCGCUGCCGCUACCCAUGUAGCCGCUGCCGCCCGUCCACCUCCUUCAUCUUCAUCCAGCACCAGCCCGUCGCCAGCGUCGCCGUCAUCUACCCCGACCACUUUAUCUACUCUGAAAACCGCGGGCGACAUCGGUUCCGCGCCGAUUGGCGCCACAACCAUCAUCGAGUCCUUCUCUGAUGGCCUCUCCGACUUCUUCGACAUGGCGUAUAGCUUGUGCAGGUCCCAGUCUGCGCAUGCCUGGUGCUGGCAACACCGAAGCAUGCCUCGCCAUGAUGUGUCCCCAGGCCUGGCAAGCUCGGUGCGGCGCUUUGUCAACUUCGUCUUCGUCCGUCUACUUAUGCCCGGUACUGGCAACAUCGGUGCGUGCCUUCGUCUACGAUGUGUCCCCGGGCUUGGAAACCCCGUCGCGACGCGCCGUUAACAACGUCUUCUCCCAGUGCCCCACUACUUCGACACCGCUGCGCCCAUGACUAACUCAGAGCCUCCUUGCACCCGCGGCUCCACGACGACUUCCUUGACAUCGGCCACCCUGACUCGACAUCGACCACGGCAUUCUUCGCAUGGCUACCUCGACCACGACUCCACUACACACGCUCUCGGCUACCUCGACAAACGACACAAAGGGCUACCGCCUUACUUGAGCAACCUCAUCGGUUGCCACUCCUAUCAUGACUUCUGUGAUGCAUCGACUGUUACGGCUGUGGGGGGUGUCUGUCAGCUUGCCUUCGGAUUCUUCUCCAGUCUCACUGUCUGCGUCGCUACCGUUGUGACUGCGGGGGGAUGUUGAGUAUAAGGAUUAUUUAGGAAACGUAGGAUAGCGUAGGAUUUAUUCUACCUUGACUUGUACUCCAAGAUGACCUUGUACUCCUAUAUAUAUGCCCACGAGGCUCAAUCAAUACAAUAGACUAUUCCACCAAUCCUCUCUCCCUUCUAACAUUUAGGAUGGUUUGUCUUGUCCAAUCCGAGGUGGCGGACACGUCUAGGUGUCCCCAUAUAUGGGCUGAGUUUGAUGGUUGCUGGAGAGCACAGACGUUUGGAUGUUUUAGGGGAGACGAUUGGGUGGCCUUUUUUUGUUCAGACGGUUACUAGGCUAUCCGUCUGGACGUUUGGGGAGGGUUUGAGGUGUACGGUUGUAGUUGCUCUAAGAACCCAAAAAAUUCAAGCAAAGGGCAACAUCUGGAUGGUUUUGGCACUUAGAGAGGACAAAUACUCGUAGGGCAGGCAUGUCAUAAGGAGCACGAAUAUACAAAGUAAAUAUAAAUUGAACUUUCAAUUCAAAAGAUAUAAUAGAUUUAAAUUUAAAAGUAAACAAGGAGCUUGAGAGAUGGGAUGGGCUGGGCGUGCAUUCUACGGCUACAUGCAUGCGUGCCCAUGUCCCUCCGUGCCACAAACUUUCUUCGACUUAGAUGAUGGACUAAACUAAGACUCUGCGAAUAGUCCAUAGAUCAAAGAUGUUUCUCAAUGUUAUGUGUUCUUGUAUUUAGUUAUUUCUUGCCACAACAUGGAACAGAGCCAAAUCUGAAACUCUGGAGGUAAUCAUUCAAUACAGUGAUACUACAUACCCGCUAUUAGGGCAUAUUUCUUCCUAAGUGGUUUUGGUGAUUGAUGAAAACAUGAUUGCGGACUAAUCAUGUGCAUUGAGCAUUUUAGACUACAAGCAUAUGGCACAAGAUGAUUUGUAUCCCUCAGAGUUUCAAGAGAAGAUGGUUUUCUUUCUCGCGGUUCAUUUCUGGUGGUCUUGAGUCAUAGGGAAAACCGUAUUAUUAAGAGGGGGUCCGCAUUGGAAUGGUUUGGGUGGAAUCAACACAUACACACUCAUAUUGCACCCAUUGCUCCUUUCCGCUCUUUGGAGUAGUCAUUCAUUUGCAUCGGAGUGGGGGAAAGGAGCCACCAGCGGUAGUACCACAGGCAGCAAUGGUAGUACCGCUAUUACCACCGCUCGUAGAACAGCUCAUGGCUGGGGCCUCGACUUUUCGUGUCGAAUUCUACAGUAGUACCUCUCGGUCUCUGAUACAUCUCCAACGUAUCUAUAAUUUAUGAAGUAUUCAUGCCAUUAUAUUAUCAUUCUUGGGUGUUUUACAAUCAUUUUAUAGCAACUUUAUAUCAUUUUUUGGGACUAACCUAUUGACCCGGUGCCCAGUGCCAGUUGUUGUUUUUUGCUUGUUUUUUACAUCGCAGGAAAUCAAUAUCAAACGGAGUCCAAACACCGCGUAAUUUUUUAGAGAUUUUUUAUGGACCACAAGACCAACAAUGGGCCAAAGAAGCACCUGGGGGGGGGGGGGUGCCCCGAGGGGGGGCACAACCCACCAGGGCGCGCCUGGGCCCUCAGGCGCGCCCAGGUGGGUUGUGCCCACCUCAGUGGCCUCCCGUACCCCCUCUUUGCGCUAUAAAUUCCCAAAUAUUCCAAAACCCUUCGUGGUUAACCUAGAUUAGAAGUUUCGUCACCGCAAGGCCUCUGUAUCCAUGAGAUCCAAUCUAGACCCCGUUCCGGCACCCUACUGGAGGGGGGAAUCAUCACCGGUGGCCAUCUUCAUCAUCCCGGCGGCCGCCACAAUGAGGAGGGAGUACUCCACCCUCGGGGCUGACUACUAGCUAUGUGUUUGAUCUCUCUCUCUCUCUCUCUCUCGUGAUCUCUAUCAUGGGCUUUCUUAAUAUAGUUGGAUCAUAUGAUGUUUCUCCCCUCUAUACUCUUGUUAUGAUGAUUGAAUCUUUAGCCUUCAAAGUUUUGCCUUAUCGGAUUGAAUAUUCAGAGAUGAGAACACAUGAUAUAUGUCUUGCAAUAUGAAUACUUGAGGUGACAAUGAGGCAUCUUAUUGAUUCACUUGAUAUGUGUUAUGGCAUUCAACUCGCGGAUUCCCUCGGUGAUAUUGGGGUAAUCUAUGCAUAGGGGUUGAUGCACUUCUUUCUCCGACGGAAACUUUGGGGGUCUCUUUAUAGUUCUUUGUGUGGAUUGAAUAUUAUGAAUAUGAAUUUGCUUUGGUGUUAUUCUAGUACAAACUCUAGGAUAGAUCGAACGGAAAAAUAGCUUUGUGUUAUUUUAGUACGAACUCUUGAAUAGAUCGAACGGAAAGAAUAGCUUUGAGGUGGUUUUGUGACCUACAAACAAUUCCUAUCUUUUGUCCUCCGCUAAUAGGAACUCGGGAGUGAUUCUUUAUUGCACUUUGAGGGAUAAUCAUAUGAUCCAACUAUGUUAGCAUUGUUGAGAGGUUGCACUAGCGAAAGUACGGACCCUAGGCCUCAUUUUUAAGCAUUGCAACACCGUUUUUGUGCCCGUUUACUAUUUGCUACCUUGCUGUUUUUAUUUAUUUAGAUUAUAAAAAUAUAUUUCUACCAUCCAUAUUACACUUUUAUCACCAUCUCUUCACCGAACUAGUGCACCCACUACAAAAAAAGGACACAUCCGUGACAUUUUGGGCCGAAUGAUUUUUUUUCUGUCAUACAUAUGACACUUCUAUGACGAUAAUUGUGACAAAACCCGGUAUCAUCAUAUAUGUGGUGGGCUCCUACUUCUAUGACAAAAAAUCAUGACAGAAAAUGGGCUUUUUGUCUUGGGCGGGCCGGAGACGCAGCUGCAUGACAUUCUUUGGGCCGUCCAUGACUGAAAAAACCAUGGUAGAAGCAAGGACGAGGAAAAUUUCAGGGAGUUCCCGGUUACGGUGGGCGGUCGGGGGCCGAGCGAUGUGCGUUUCUCUCGUACACGUACGCGUGUGUGUGCGAGGCGUUGGCUCUAACUGAACCUGAGCGAGGUGUUGGGCUCUAACUGAACCCGAGCGAUUGCACUGCAGGCUACGCAUUACUGAACCCGAGCGAUCGAUCGAUGGCUGUUAACUGAACCCGAUCGAGCGAUUCCUUCGCUACUGCUGCUAACUGAAGCCGAUUGAUGCUACCUCUCUGGAUGAACAGUGAGUGUUNNNNNNNNNNNNNNNNNNNNNNNNNNNNNNNNNNNNNNNNNNNNNNNNNNNNNNNNNNNNNNNNNNNNNNNNNNNNNNNNNNNNNNNNNNNNNNNNNNNNNNNNNNNNNNNNNNNNNNNNNNNNNNNNNNNNNNNNNNNNNNNNNNNNNNNNNNNNNNNNNNNNNNNNNNNNNNNNNNNNNNNNNNNNNNNNNNNNNNNNNNNNNNNNNNNNNNNNNNNNNNNNNNNNNNNNNNNNNNNNNNNNNNNNNNNNNNNNNNNNNNNNNNNNNNNNNNNNNNNNNNNNNNNNNNNNNNNNNNNNNNNNNNNNNNNNNNNNNNNNNNNNNNNNNNNNNNNNNNNNNNNNNNNNNNNNNNNNNNNNNNNNNNNNNNNNNNNNNNNNNNNNNNNNNNNNNNNNNNNNNNNNNNNNNNNNNNNNNNNNNNNNNNNNNNNNNNNNNNNNNNNNNNNNNNNNNNNNNNNNNNNNNNNNNNNNNNNNNNNNNNNNNNNNNNNNNNNNNNNNNNNNNNNNNNNNNNNNNNNNNNNNNNNNNNNNNNNNNNNNNNNNNNNNNNNNNNNNNNNNNNNNNNNNNNNNNNNNNNNNNNNNNNNNNNNNNNNNNNNNNNNNNNNNNNNNNNNNNNNNNNNNNNNNNNNNNNNNNNNNNNNNNNNNNNNNNNNNNNNNNNNNNNNNNNNNNNNNNNNNNNNNNNNNNNNNNNNNNNNNNNNNNNNNNNNNNNNNNNNNNNNNNNNNNNNNNNNNNNNNNNNNNNNNNNNNNNNNNNNNNNNNNNNNNNNNNNNNNNNNNNNNNNNNNNNNNNNNNNNNNNNNNNNNNNNNNNNNNNNNNNNNNNNNNNNNNNNNNNNNNNNNNNNNNNNNNNNNNNNNNNNNNNNNNNNNNNNNNNNNNNNNNNNNNNNNNNNNNNNNNNNNNNNNNNNNNNNNNNNNNNNNNNNNNNNNNNNGUAGCGCUCUGAUACAAGUCCGUUUCGUCCGUUUUGCGGUACGCCACACCCCUCCCGAUCAACAGGACCCCCGUUUCAACCGUAGGAGGUCCAUUUCCUCCAUUUUGCGGUACGCCAGACCCCUCCCGAUCAACAGGACUCCCGUUUCGACCGUGGCCGGUCGAACACAAGGCCGUUUCCUCCGUUCUGCGGUACGCUAGGCCUCGUUUCCAUCGCCUGUUUUGUCCAAGCCCUCCCGAUGAACACGACGACGCAUUCCGUUCCGACCCAGCCGGUUGGCUCCCACGCAUUCCGUUGCCUCCCGAUGAACACGAUGCAUUCCGUUGCCUCCCCAUGAACACGACGCAUUUCGUUGCCUCCCCAUGAACAUGACGACGAUGCUGUUUCUCCGUUCUGACCCAGCCAUGUACAUGAGUCCUGGCCGUAUUUUCUUUCUUGCACACUGGCCGCUGUACGUACGUGUACAUGCUAUGUGCACGCCUCUACUACGACACGUACGCGCCUCUACUACGACACGUGCACGCCUCUAGAUCGACCAGUAUAUAUGUACGUACACGUUCGCGACCAGAAUGACAACGCUACGUACGCUUUGACCAGGUGGGUCCCGACUGUUAGGCACUUCCUUGCGUGCGAAGAUGUAGCUGGUGGGUCCCAGCAGCCAGGGGGACGAAUCGUUUUGUUUUUUUUCCCGGACGUACUUCCUUGCGUGCGAAGGUGUAGCUAGUGGGUCCCAGCAGUCAGGAGGGCGAAUCAUUUUUUUGCCCAGAUGCACUUCCUUGCGUGUGAAGAUGUAGCUGGUUGGUCCCAGCAGUCAAGGGGGCGAAUCAUUUUUUUCCCGGGCGCACUUCCUUGCGUGCGAAGAUGUAGCUGGUGGGUCCCAGCAGUCAGGGGGAGAAUCAUUUUUUUCGCGAAAUACGGUGGCCCGUCCGGUGGGUCCCCGCUUUCAGGUGGAGGAAUAAUUAUUUUGCGCGUAAUAAGAAGGCACUUCCUUGCGGCUGCCGUGGACCCAACUGUCAGCCUCUCCACGUACAGUCCACGUCCGAUGGAAGUCGUUCCUUGACCACGUUGACCACGCUGCACCAAGAGCACCAUGGCGGUGGACGACGGCGAGGCCUAGGAAGGGGACGACGCGGAGCCGGGGAAGACGCGACAGUGGAUGCACACGCGGAGAGGAGUACGAGGGUUCACUGGUUCGGCUGCGCUGCCGUCGCCGCAGAAUAAUAGGGGGUGUGAGUGAGUGGAGGGAUGGCCUGGCCAGUGGUGGGAGUAGUAGGGGGCGGUGAGGCCUCGACGGCAGCACAGCCGGCCACGAGAGGCAGGAGCAGGUGGCACGACCGGCGCUGCUUUGGGCGGCUGGAGCAAGAAGACCAGAGGUUGAAGAAGCACGACGGCCGUUGGAUGGACAUCGUACGGUCACUGCAGCUAGAAUCGUUUAUAUUGACUAAGUUGACAAAGCCCUUGGUACGUCAACUUAGUAGGCCCACAAGUCAGCUUCUGAAACAGUGCGUCCUAGAUGUCAGGGGGAGGAAUCAUUUUUUGGGCGGGUGAAGGUAGAAUAUCCGAGAUUGAAGAAGAAGCACGGCAUCCGUUGGAUGGACAUCCAACGGCCACUGCCGCUAGAACCGUGUGUUGACUAUAAGUGGACAAAGCCUUGCAUACGCGUCAACUAUAUUUUUUUAGGGGGCGCGUCAACUUAGUAGCCAGAAGUGUGUGGCAGAGAACUUAUAGCCCAUUUGAGAUUUGUAAGAAUGUGCAACCCAUUUUUGAAUUCUAAUGGAAUUUACUACAACCCAUUUGCAGUUUGUUAAAAGUACAUCCCAUUUCAACCAACUGUUCAAAACAGAAUUCAAUAAAAUUUCCCACAUUUUGAUGGGAUCCGAAAUAUUUUUAUCCCGAACUUUCUAGUCAGAUUAAAUACAAUUUCAAUAUAAAUUUAUAUUACGUAAAAAUCCAACAAAACAUUGCGCUCGCAACAAUUAAUGAAAUUAAAAUUUUCAAUAUCCAAAAAUAAUAUUUUAUAAAGUAAUUACGUGUUUGGUGCAUUUUUUAUAGUUACUGCCCAGUUUUUAUAAUUACAUCCCAUUUAUUAUUUCUUAAAGCUCAUUUUCUUGAUAAGCCUAAUGCAUCCCUCCUAGGAAAGAUUUGCAGCCCAGCGGGGCGGAGAAUAACAACUUGACCUUGCCUGGGUAUUCCUAAAAAAGAGUAUAGCUGGGCUAGCCAUUUUCAGCUUGAAAAAAAAUUAAUAUCUGGGCUGGAUAUCUGGCCUGGGCUAGACGGGCCACAGCCCGCCCAGUUAAUACCUGCAGCGAUGUUUUCGUUGUUGUUCAGAGGAGAAAAAUUAAUAUCUGGGCUAAACAUUGAAAAACUCUGUAGUGCUCACACCUCAAAAACACAAAUACUGCUCGAGCUGCUUGGUCCCAGCUGUCGGCCGCUUCUUGUGCAAUUCCCUCGUUUAUUGACUACUCCCUCCUUUGCGGUUUAUAGUGCUCAAAUCAAAAAUCUCACCAAUCAAGGUAGAUGGCGAGUGGUGGAAUACUUUUUGUAGUUUUGCAAAAGCACCUAAUUAAUUAUCUUGCCAUCCUCAAAAAAUUAUGUUUAUCAAUGCAUUAAUUGCAAUGCAUGCAUGCAUAAAGUACAUGCAUUGGUCAAUUUUCUCUUAAUACUUGCAUGCAAUGAUUUAAUGCACCUUGGAAUCUGAACAUGUGAUGGAAAACAACCAAAUUGAGCCUUAUAAAAUGGAAAAACUAAAUUUUGAGAUAAGCCCUAUAAACCGGAAAGGAGGGAGUACAUAGGUUGACAAUGGUGUGGGACCGUGAUGUCAGGAAACCAGGAGGAAGCAAAAUAAAUUUUAUAUAUAUAUAUAUAUAUAUAUAUAUAUAUAUAUAUAUAUAUAUAUAAUAAGGAGCCACUUGCGUACGUGAGGCUAUGGCCCUGGUGGGUACCCAUUGUCAUCCUCUCCAAGUAAAGUCAUCUCCUCGCCCGUGCGCGCUUUCCGCCCAAAACAGUCAGCGCCGCCCGCCUCGCUUCCCGGUGCAGGCGAUUGCUCCGUCUUCAAACGACACAAGUGCCGUCCGUCCGUCCAUCUGCCGCCCACAUUAAUGAUACGCGGUUGCCGAGGCGGCUACUCCGGCACCACACGUCCGUCCAUCCGCCGCCCACCAUUGCUAUAUAAACUGCUGCGCCGGCCAUAGCCGCAAUCAUCCGCAUCCGUUCCCUUUCUCCUGUCCACACCACUACUGCCCACCAUGGCUUCCUCGCUCUCUAGCGCUCUUCGGGACGGGCGGACGACGGACCACAAGGAGAUGGCAGCCAUUGCUGCCAACCGGCUGGCCGGCAUGCAGCCGGUGGACGACGACGUCCCAAUGGAGAACAUGGUAGUCGACGAUCCGGCUCCAACCCCCUCCUCCGUGCCAUCCUCGCCAGUUCAUUGCACCAUGACCAUCAGUGAGGCCCGUGCCCAAUAUAUGGACACGGUGAGGCAGAUGCGCGAGGAGCAGUUCCGGAAGGCGCAUGCCGAGGCCGCUUACAACCACCAUCUCCUCCAGGAGCACCUGCAGGCGGAGGAGCAGAUCGCCGCGGAGCGGGCGAAGCAGGAGGCGCUGCUCGGCUCAUACCGCUCCGCCCGCAAGGGCCGCCUCGAGUGCUGGCGGUUCCGCAUGCGGGUGGCGGAGGCUGCGGCCGCCUACAAAGAGGGCGAUGUAGCAGGUGAGGCGCUGUUUGGCGAGACUAAGGACGAGGCAGAGGACAAUGCAGGCUCCGACAAGUCCCCACUCUGCUGGCGUUGACGAGGCCCUGCUCCGCCGAGGCCCCGCGGCACCAACAACGAGGCAGAGGACACUGCCAGCUCCGCCGAGGCCCCGCGCCGCCAAGAACGAGGCAGAGGACAUCGCCGGCUCAGUCGAGGCCACACCCUGCCGGCAACGUGGGGGAGGAUUUCCACCGCUCCGCCGAGGCGCCACCCGCCGGCAACAAGACAGAGGACAUCGCCGGCUUCGCCGAGGCCCCGCCCCGCUGCCAACGAGGCCGCGCCACACCGAAAACGAGGAAGAGUAGAACACGGUAGGUCGCCGCCGCUCGGGUCCAAGUAAGGCCACCGCUGCUACCCUCCGGUUGAAGCCAAGCUAGGCGGGUUGACCAUUGACGGCCGGUUAGCUUCUUGGCGGCGACAUGGAGUCGGAGAGCUGCGCUGUAGAAGAACGCUGCUUCUACUUAACUGCUGGUGCAGUUGGCUGACUGACACGUGGGCCCAACAGGCCACAUGUCAGUUACGCAACUGCACAUGCAGUUAAGUCACUGAAGCUUCUGUUCGGCUCAGCGGGACACAGGUGGGUAGCUUCGUUUAAUUAAUUAUACCUCCAGCGCACCCCUUUUUAGUUGAAGAAUGUGUGAAAUGUAAUGAAAUCCAGCAUGUUUAUAUGAAAUCCGACCGUGUAUGAAUGAAUUUAUUUCGAUUAGUUUGAAUUCCUGUAUCACUGGCAUUGGAUGAACAUGCAAAACAAUAUGUACUAGCAUUAUUCCCAGGGUGAUCACCUCGUUUGCAACAGUUUCACAUGUACUCCUUCCGAUCCUUUCUAGUCUACAUACAAGUUUUGUCUGCAGUCAAAGUAUCUCUGCUUUGACCAAUCUUAUACAAAAAAGUAUGCACUUUCACAAUGUGCGAAGUAAAAAGGAACAGAAGGAGUACAAAGAGUUUGAGCAGCUUUUUAGCAUUUCUGUACAUUGCAAUCAAACACACAGGGCUGGCAAUUCAUAGAGAACAUUCAAAACAAUCAAUGAUUAUGCAUCUCAGCGACUCACAUGUCAGAGGCAAUAUUUACUUCACAACUAAAGAAUAAAGAAAAAAUUGAUCGACGCUGCUGACAGCAAAGGGCGUCCCAUUCGAAAAUAUCAAAAGCAUGUCUUGCUAAAAUCAAUGAGCAAAAUUUGACAAGGUUGUCCCAUUCCAAAAUAUCAAAUGCCUACGAUUGUGGAAUGGGCAGGGUUUGCCAUUAGUUUGGACAUUGACAUGGCACCUCGUGCUAAAUAAACCAGCUGUUCUUUUUGUCCAGUUCCACCAAAAUCAACCAAAUUUGCGCGUAGCUUGUAUGAUUUUGCCCUUAUAUGUUGCAACGCCUUGAACUUAUCGGCACCUCCUUUCUUGUGGUGGAAAUGAAUGAUUCGAUGUAUUCAUGAACAUUUUGUGCAGUUCCCAUUGAAAUCAAGCUGAGCACCCCUGUUUGCACAAAUACAAGAAAGUGAUUAGUAUAAAGCAAACUGUACUAUGAAUUGACAGUUUAAACAGGCACCUACAUGGUCCAUGUAGAGCACACUUUUAGAAAAAUGGAACUCACCAGAAAGAAUCCUAGAACAACAUUGUACUCGCGCAUCACAGCAAAAAAUGGAGAUUCGUCAGUCCUUCUGAGCUGAAGUUAGUUUGGUCUUGUGGGGAGUAAUGUAACCAUCCUUCAACUGCUCCUUCUGAUGAGAAGAUUGAUAGGGCUUCUUCAUCCUGGCAUAAUCGGAACUAGUCACUUCACGUACUCCAUAUUCUUAUUCAGAGGAAGAUGAUCCUGUUGUGCAAAGAUAAGAGGACUACUAAAUGCUAGCAUCCCUGUUUGCUCAAAAAAAGGAAAGGAAAUAUUUAAAACAACACAGAUGAAGCACUUCUCAAGGACAAUACCACUUUUUCAUGACAGUAUCUAAACAGUAGCACAACACCAAUAGAGAUGACCAAGCUCAAUCAUAUGGAUGAAAUUAGUGGGCGAGUACCAACCUUUGUCAGGAGGCUUAUUGUGUAGAGCAUACAGAUGAAGCACUUCUCCGGAACCAUCUGUUGCUAUCUACGGUGGUGGCCAUGCUUACUGUAUACUCCUCGAUUAGUUUAAUGUUUCCAACAUCUUCUUGUGGAGUUCCACUAAAAUAUAUGGUAUCUUCAAAGAAGAUCCCUGUUUGCACAAGUAGAGAUAAUUACAUAUUACAUUAAGAGUGGCAUCAAAUCAGUGGCAAAACAAUUGCUCAUUCCAGCCAUAGCAAUAAAUUAAGAUGCAAAACUAUAUCAUUACUUGUGUCAUCACAGUUCCAGUGCUUCAUUACAGCACCGGGAGUUGAUUUUUGUUUUUCUUCCGCUUGUUCUUCCCCUUCAUCACUUGGUUCAAUAACAGACAAGCUUCGCCUUCAAUGUAAGAUUUGGCAUGUCAAUUAGGGAGCACAAGUAUAGUACUAAACUUAAUUUUCUGAUGAAAGUGGCAAAAUACAGGCCAACAGAUGUGAAAUAUCCUUAUCUUACCUCAAUGGGAUAUUACGGUGCACAUACAGAUUGUAAGUCUUCUCUCCAUUUGUGCAGUUCACUAAAAUCAAGCAACAUUAUCGUACAAGUAGCACAACAUAUGAAAGCACACUGCAGAAUCAUGUGAAAGAAGGCUAGUACUGACCUCUCAUGAUGCGGAAUUCAAACAACUCACAAGAAGAAGAUCUGAACCAAAUUUGACAACACAGAUAGGAAGUAAGAUCUCCUCUUGUGCAGUUCCACUAAGAUCAAGCAAUCAAGCAACAUUGUCGGUGUGACAUCUUGGUUGAACUACACAAAACACUCUUAAAACAAAAGUGUUUUGUGCAGUGCAACAAAAGGUCACAAUGGCAACGAGGUGAAGUAGAUAACCCUGUUUACACAGAGGUGCAAAGGAAACAAUUAGUGAUCAAUAAUGGUGGAUGACACAGAAGCCAACAAAAAGAAGCAUCUACCUUAUCUAAAUGGGAAAGAAAGCAAGACAGUAGCAUUUCUCAAACGGUGGCAUUGAUUAAUAUUAACAUAGAGAUUAUAUUAACAAUAAAAUUCGUUAAACAUGUAAUUUGCUUUUAACUGUGGCAUUGCAUCAAUUUUCCAGCGGCAUUAUUAGAGGGUGUUUGUUUACAGGGACAUUUUGGUGUAGGGACUAAAAAAACUCCGUGUUAGUCCCAUCUAAAUCAAACAUGAGGGACUUUUAGGGACUAAAAAUGGGCAUUUGGGACUAAAGAAAGAAGACCCCGAGGGAGUCUUUUUUGGACUUUUUCCAACAGUUGCCCCUGCCACGCAUCGCACCUUGUCUCUAUUAGUUCAUUACUAGGGGUAACAUGGUCUUUUAGCAUGUCAUUUAAUAACCUCUAGUCCAUGUUUAGUCCCUGGAACCAAGCAGGUAGGGACUAGGAAGUUUUUAAGCAAACAGGGCCUUAGAUUAACAACAGCUAAUGAGUUGCACGGGACAGUGGACGCACCAGCACCAUGUGCAUCUACCGAUGUACUGUGGUCAUGCACAACCUAUUGCAACAAAGAACAAACAACCAAGGAGCAUAUUUGUGUUGGUCCCAGUUUUGUUAUCUUUAGAUACCUUUCCCUAUGUGACGCAGCAAAUCUAGUCCUGCUCGAACCCUACAGCCUUAUCCCCCAAAACAAAAGAUCAGUUUGUUACAGAUGUGCGUACUGCGUUUGUCAUUGUUUUCCCUUUUCGACCAGCGUAGGUGCUGGAUAGCUAGUCUGUACUAGUACUUUCGCCCCUUCCUUUCCUCUUUGAACGACGUCCUAGAUUUAUGCGAUACAACUUUCUCCACUACUUUCCCCCAUUCCUUUCCUCUUUGAACCACGUCCUAGAUUCAUGCUAUACAACUUUCCCCCUUCAUUUCCUCUUUGAACCACGUCCUAGAUUCAUGCUAUAUACAACUUUUCCCACUACUUUCCCCCACUCCUUUCCUCUUUGAACCACGUCCUAGAUUCAUGGUAUACAUGCAACUAGAGGAAUACAUGUGGAGUAAGUAAAUUAUACCUUAAGGUUCUUGGGGCGUGGUUUAGUGGGCGACAGGACGGCAGCGAAGAAGAAGGGGUCAGAGGCCCUCCCACGCCGCCGCUGGGUGAAAGUGAACAGCUGCGUUGGUAGUGGAUUCCCUCCCUCGCCGACGGCGACAGCGUUAAGCCUCCUUCCCUUCCCGGCGAACGGAUCCUGCCGGCUCUUUGAGUAGCAGUGAGGGGAGAGAGAGGACAACGAAGUCUUGUUUAGAUCUGGAGAGGGCGAGAGAGUGUGAAGGGAGCAACUACAAGCGCUGAGGCUCCAGCAUGUAUAUAUAUACUGGAGAGAGAGUGUGAAGCGUGCAAACCCUAGAAAACAAGUUCCCUCAAGUGUAGUUAUCAAACCCGAGACCUCAAGUUUGAUGAGCGAACAGGCUAACCAGCUACACAACCCUCCCGUUAUGUUCAACAAGAGGAAAAUAACCUUUUAUACAUUCCCGCAUUCGUGUGACAAGCAUGCUGUGUUUUUUGUGUGUGUGGGAGUCAUUGGGAUUUCAAUCAUAAUCGUGUCAUGUGGCUUUGGUGGUAAGACUAUCCACAGUGGUGCAGAAAUAAUGCAGCCUUAGUCACCUUACCUCUCUCCACAUAGUACGUUGGGUCCCACCAGUCAGAGGGUGAAACAAACAAAUUAAUAAGAAAAAUUAAAAGCGCCAGCGGUGUAUCUUACCUCACACAUCUCGCUACUGCUGGGGAACACUGUCCAAUUGAUCCCUCUGUUCGCUCACGUACUAUUUUAAGUGAAUCCUUAUUAUAACAUGCACACAAUUUUGGGCACUUGUAUUCGACUUAAGUCAGUGUGCCACCGUGUCUCGUAUACUUACUACUCCCUCCGUCUAGGUGUAAUAAGUCACGUUAGAAGGUGCAACGGGACCAAGGUGCGCUCGCGCGCCCCCAUGUGUGUGUGUGUGUUUAACAACAUGUGUGUGUUAGAGAGAGCGACAGAUCGACCUACUCCUACAGAGAGAUGGUGUGUAGUGUACGAUUUUAGCCGUGAGAGUCGGUGCAUCCUCUCAUAUUUGGGCGUGUCCGGUAGGGACAUGUGGACAGCUGCCACGCCCGCUCCUGACCAGCCUGGCCCACCCAAAGCCCCUCCAUCGCCUGCGCGCGCUUCCCGCCUGAAAUGGUCAGCACUGCUCCAAAGAAUCCGUGCCGCAUUCAUGCCUGGGCAGAGCGGACGCGACCUCUCACUGGCGCAAGAGUAAUGGUUUCUUUGUCCGUCCAACUUACUGCUGGGUCUAUGUGAUUUGACGGCUCAUUGGUCUUUAUUACUGAGGUGGUAGGACUGCUGGAUGUCCCAUGCUUUCGGCGAAAGGAGGUACUACUAGAUUACAAUUUUCUCCAUUCUUACAGCGGAGGAGUGCAAGAGCAGUGAAAACACGCAGGCUCAGUGAUUACAUGGCCCACCUCACACUAUCACCGUGCGACACCUAACUCUUUACAUAGUACUCCCUCCGUUCCUAAAUAUUACUAGAUGAGUCCCCGCGUGUUGCCGCGGAACAGCCGUAUAUCUCUUUGCGCAAAAUUAUCGAUUUCAUAGAACUAAAAAAACUCUAUAACCGCAUGACAAAUGUGGUAGCCGAACUAAAUAAACUCCCAUCAUCAUUUAGAUCAUCCCACGUAAGGAAAAAAGAUCAGCCAACUCCUACUGCAUAAUGGGAUUAUAUUUUUCUUUUUGACAUGUUAAUGGGACUUAAAAGCUCACUUACAUACAUGCUACCGGUGCAUGCUUGCAUGCAGACAUGUUGAUGUGAUUUAAAACCCACUCACAUGCAUGCCACGGUAUUUCUGCAUGCUUGCAUGUGGCUUAGUGCGGAGCCUCUCAACGUCUAGAUCAGACGGCUAUUAUGGACUGAUUUAGUUCAUCUAACGGCUACAUUAAUUUUGAUGAUGUGGCUCAAGGAGAGGAUAGAGAAUUCCUAGUAGUGGGGGCUAGCUAUUACUAGUAGAUAAGUCUUUGUAGAGAUUCCACUAGGUGAACUACAUACGGAACAAAAUGAAUGAAUCUACACUUAAAAUGCAUCUAUAUACAUCCGCAUGUGGUUCAUGGUGAAAUCUCUACAAAGACUUAUAUUUAGGAACGGAGGAAGUACUAGUAUAGUACGUACUGUAAUUUAUCAGCGACAUAAAUUUGUACAAUGCUAUGAAGCUUCCAGCUUCUGUUACAUGUAUCUUGCGUCCAAGGUUGCCCGUUGCAACAUUUCAUCAAAUACAAAGGAGACUAACAUGCAUGCUAUUGCAUCUCAAUGAUUGACAGAUCAUAGCAAAUAUGUACUCCCUCCGUUCCAAAAUAAGUGUCUCAACUUUGUGCAAAAUUUAGUACAAAGUUGUACUACUACUAAAGUUGACACUUAUUUUGGAACAGAGGCAGCUAAAGAAAAAAAGAUCCAUGCAGUCCCUAGCCCUUGAACUGUGAACCCUGACCAGGCUUCAAUUUGCUGGCAACGUUCGAGCUUCCUAAUAAAUGAAGUUUGCAACCUUUUGACCAUUGGAUCAUUUUGUGCGGUUUCACCAAAAUCGAGAUGAGCAUCCCUAUGGCAAAGAAAUUGAAGAAGCGUGAUUAGAAUAAGAUUACUGGGACUAGUUGAUGAGACAUAAACUCAUCACAAAUACAGUACGUAGAAGCCAGUAGAGGUAUGUGCAGGGCAAAGAAGUAGAGAAAUAUCCACAGGGAGUGAUGUUGGCAGCUGGAGCAGUGGUGCAAGCCGGAUGUAAAGGGAGUUGUACCUGAGGGACGUAGCUCAACCUUGACGAGGGCGGAGGGAGGUGGCAACUGCCCACGUCGUGGCAGUGAGCAAGGGACUAAGGCAACCUCACCGGCUUUGUGAGAGAGAAUGGCGGGGACCCCUGAUCGGGAUGUGCCGACAGUGGGUUUUCACCGUCGGCGACGGCGACCGCAUCUACACUAAGCAUCCACCCCUUCCCCAAGCGGACGUGAUCCGCCGGGAUGUUAGAGAUGUGGCCACAGUCGUUUUGUGCGAGAGAGUGUGAAGAGAGCAACCCCAACAAGCAACCGUGUAGGCUGGCCCGUCCUGACUAUGUAUAUAGUGGAGCGGUUUCCUUUUCUCUCCAUAUGAACCUAUCAUAUUGCGUACGUGCCACUGAAGAAAAAAAACUUCAUUUAUAAAUGACGCGGCACCUACUACUCGUUCUCCUAUAACCUUGCGCUUGGCAUCUCCAAAAUAUUAACCUUGCGAUUGGCUCUUCACCUCUUCGGGAAGUCGAGCAAUAAUGGUACUGCAGUAUAUAUCGUUCUGGCUAUAUGAGACCGAAUGAAUUGCUGCACGUCCACCACGUGGGCGAGGGUCGAGGGGCGAGGGAGAGUGCUACAUACAGAGGCAAAUGAGUGAAUGUACACUCUAAAAUAUGUCUAUAUACAUCAGUGUUUGGAGUAUGUACUAGUAGUUCAUAUUGAAAUCUACUAAAGGACAUAUAUAUUCCAAACAAUAUGAUAUAAUCUCUAUAACCAAGGUAGUAGGGAUGAGGAGUAAACAAAGGGAGUAGUAAAUUUUUCUCCUCGUCCUGCGAGCCACCGCGUGCAUGGGCGAGGGAGCGGGCGUAAGGCGGAGCAAGCUUCGAGCCACCGCGCCCGUGGGCGGGGGAGACGGCGUACUAAGCAAGCUUCUCCUUGUUCUGCGAGUUGACGGGACACAUCAAAAGUACUCCAGUGUAUAGAGCCUUGCCUCUAAGGUAGGCCCCACAUGGUUUGCCUCUUUUUUUAAUUUAACAUAACGCGUCAAGUCACAAUUUGUUUGUUCACCCGUGGUAGACGAUCCUCCCUCCACCAAGUGGACAACCAGUACACGUGCCAAAUUACCACGUGGGCUGCCAUUUUCGUACAGAAAUGAGCUCCACCGUGUACCCGCGCGGGUGUGGUUGGGAAAGAGACGGGAAUACGUGCGCCGUGCAUGCACCUCUUCUCUUCGUGCACGUCCCCCACCUAUGUGGGUGUGUGUGAGAGAUACAAACCGCGUUCGUGAGUGUUUUUUGUUUUGGGGUGGGGGUGGGGGGUUGAUUUUGUGAAUUAUUUGUGGGAAUAUGUGUCGAUGACAUCUCAAACAAAAUUUUGCAUGCAAUGUGUGUGAAAUGGAGGCCUAUCCAUAUGAUACAUAGAGGGUCGGGCAAUCCACAAGAAGAGAGGGAGGGGUCAUAGCUAUCGAUAGAGUCGAAGAGAGGAUCAAGUGGGUGGGUGCAAGAUCGAUGAAGAGAGCCAUCGAAAUUGUGCGUGUGUGCAAGUCAAAGAUAUAGGGUGACUGGCCUACCGGAACGUUAGAGGGCACAUGUCAAGUUUGUGUGNNNNNNNNNNNNNNNNNNNNNNNNNNNNNNNNNNNNNNNNNNNNNNNNNNNNNNNNNNNNNNNNNNNNNNNNNNNNNNNNNNNNNNNNNNNNNNNNNNNNNNNNNNNNNNNNNNNNNNNNNNNNNNNNNNNNNNNNNNNNNNNNNNNNNNNNNNNNNNNNNNNNNNNNNNNNNNNNNNNNNNNNNNNNNNNNNNNNNNNNNNNNNNNNNNNNNNNNNNNNNNNNNNNNNNNNNNNNNNNNNNNNNNNNNNNNNNNNNNNNNNNNNNNNNNNNNNNNNAGACAUGACUAGAGCGCUCGAUGUAUUGGUGUGUGUGGGGGGAGGGGGGAGGGGUAGGCAGAGGCCCAACUAUAGAGGUAGAACGACUCGUAUAUGUGUUGAGAAGGGGAGACCCAGCUAUGUCUUGAGGGAGAUCGGUCGACAUCCAUACAUAACCGAAGGACGGGAAAUAUGAUGGGACAGAGAGAGAGAGAGGAGAGAGAGAGAGGAAGGGAGAGGGGUAGAGUGCUGGAUGGGUGAUGGAGUUGCUUCUCGAAGAUGGUGGGAGAGGCCUACUAGACAAACUAAGGGUGGAACUGCAAUGUUAUCAAUAAGAGUGGGGAUGUGUUUCUGUGUGUGCCUGUGCAUGAUAGAUCUGUCGGGACGCAUCCAUGGAUGAUGAAGGGGAACCAUGUGUUUGGUAAGCAAACCUAACUAGAUCGGUAGAUCAAUUGUUGUUUGUCGGAGGAAGGGAGAGACACAACUAACGAGGUAGAUCGAUCGAUGCGUGGGUAAAAACGAGUUAUAAGGACCUAGCUAGCUAUAUGUAUAGCGAGAGAUCGGUCGGUGUACGUCCAUUUGUUAGAGGCAAAUAAGGCCCAACGAGACGGAUAGACAGAGAGAAUGGAGCUAGGAGGUGGUGCGAGAGGCCCAGCUACUAGCUAGAUAGGGGGAGGAGUGUGCGGUUGUGAGAUCGAUGAAAAGAGGGGCGAGAGUUUACACGUGUGUGUGACCGUAUGAGAGACACGAGGCAAGGACACAUAAAGGAGGAGAUUGAAGGUGUGUGUGUAUGUUGUAGGGAGGCAUCACUGGAGAGGUUUAUCGAUCGGUGUGUGUCGGAAAGGAGUUGUGGAGACUCUGGGAGAACGACCUAAAGAAAAAAAUGAAUGUGCCCGGUGGAUAGAAUGCCGAGGGAGGGGGAGGGCAAGGAGGGCGUGUGCAUGCAUAAGAGAAAGUUAGUGGUAGCUACAAAGGUUAGAGGAUUGUGUGGGUGUAAGAGACUAACAAAGAUCAUAAUUUGAUAUGAAAGCGGAUUCAUAUAUUUGAAUAGGAGAUCAUAGUGUUUUAAACAUUGCAUGGAUGAAUAUAGCGGUGAUACACGUGCUGUGCACAUGUUAUACCAUAAUGUGAUAAUGCAUGGCGUUCGCAACUCACAGCUAAAUGCCGAACAAUCUAAACCAUACUAUACAUCAAACAAUCUCACAUUUGAUUUGAAUUUGUGAUAAUGUGUGGCGUUUGCAGCUUACAACUAAAUAUCGAACAAUCUAAACAAUACUAUAUAUCGAACAUUCUCACAUUUUAUUUGAAUUUGUGGUAAUGUGUGGUGUUUGCAACUCACAUCUAAAUACUUGUAGGCGUAGGGGGCGGGGCACCAUACAUAAUGUGAUAGACACAUUAUACAUAUGAGACAUGGUUUAGAUUAUGAAGAUCUAGCUAGAGCUAGAAAUGUAAUGUGAUUUGAAAUCAAAAUAAAGUGGAUUCAAAAAAUCGAGUUCGAGUUCAUAUAGUACACAUAGUUCAUAUGUAACUCGAGACUAAUCAUGUGGUGUGCUGUGAAGAUAAUACACAAACGAUGGUUUAACUUGACAAUAAUGAUGAUUGUAGAUCUUAUUAAAACAGAGAAACAAAUUCAAAUGCUUUGGCUUCACAACAAUCAUUACUAUAGAUAUUAUUCAAAUAGAGAAAUGAAUUCAAAUUUAGUUCAUAUUGAAGCGGUAGUAUAUACGUUUGGAAUGCACUAAAACGUUCAUUUGAGUAGUAGGUUGCAUGCAUUAUACAUGUAGCAAACUAUUUUAGUUGAACAUAACAUGAAUUCAAAGUUUUGAAUGACAUUUGUAGUGCGCAUUGAUUUGGUACAGUACACGUUAGGCUUGUCCGGAAAUUUCAACCCGCGCCUGGUUAGCCCGAAAUAUUUAAGAUAUAUCUUUGUCUCGUUGUGCUCCGACAACUCCCUCCAUCUCAACCCGCGCCUUGCUAUUCCGAAAUUACAGCGCUCGCGAAAACUCCCACCUCCUGUGAAAUCCCGACAAGCGAAAUGCCCGUGGUACCCCUGAACCAAAAGAACCACCUCAAAUCCGUGGGGGUACUUUCGUAACUUACCCCACAUUUCAGACAAGCACGUCCCUAAGCCAUGGUUCCCCACUGCCAUCCCAUCCGCCCACCCAUUCGUACAUCGAGGUCGUGAAAACCCGUGACAAAACCCCAAAACCUGCUCCGUCCGCCACCCAGCCGGAGCCUCUUCCCCAACGACGUUGUCCACAGCAACACCUCGAUGUCCCUCAUCCAACAUACCGGAUGAGGAUCCGUCGUCGAUCUCGUCGUCCCGCCGGUUCAGCCACCCCAUCCUCCACCUCCAAGGAGCUGCCCCGAUGUUCCCCUCGUCUUUCGCGCCACCUCCAUUCCCACACCGCCGUCUUCACCUGCACCACCAGAAGAGCAUCAUCAUCACCGUUUCCUCGGAUGAAGCUGUGGCCUAAUCGGUGCCACCAAAGAGGUUGUACACUAAUCGCCGCAUUUUCUUCUUGAUUCGAUCUCACGGUGCUGCCGGCGCUCGGUCCCGAGCUGACAUGGCGCGGAUCCAUCCACGGCGGCGUCGCCGGCCACUUCCUCCAUGGUGUCGCUCCCUCGGCAUUGACGUCCACAUCAGUAGGAGCUACUGCUGCUUUAGCUCUCACUCGCGCUACUGCUCUGCUCUUGCUCUCGGUCCCCUGCCUGGUCUGCUCUUGCUAUUGCUCUUGCUUGCACUGCUGCUCUCGCUCUUGCUUGCGAUGCUGUUCCGAUUGAGCUACACUUCAGUCGACUGANNNNNNNNNNNNNNNNNNNNNNNNNNNNNNNNNNNNNNNNNNNNNNNNNNNNNNNNNNNNNNNNNNNNNNNNNNNNNNNNNNNNNNNNNNNNNNNNNNNNNNNNNNNNNNNNNNNNNNNNNNNNNNNNNNNNNNNNNNNNNNNNNNNNNNNNNNNNNNNNNNNNNNNNNNNNNNNNNNNNNNNNNNNNNNNNNNNNNNNNNNNNNNNNNNNNNNNNNNNNNNNNNNNNNNNNNNNNNNNNNNNNNNNNNNNNNNNNNNNNNNNNNNNNNNNNNNNNNNNNNNNNNNNNNNNNNNNNNNNNNNNNNNNNNNNNNNNNNNNNNNNNNNNNNNNNNNNNNNNNNNNNNNNNNNNNNNNNNNNNNNNNNNNNNNNCCCACUAUAUAUCUUAGGGUUCAGGGUGGGGGCGGUGGUCGCCGGCGGUGGCGGGGCGUUGGCGGGGCGGUGGCGUGGGGAUCACCAGAGAAAAAGCUCACCAUGAGGGGCCUAGAGGGAUGGCCGGGGCGGCGGCGGACCGGCGGUGGGGAGUGUUUUCGGGGCGGACAGGGCGGCGCACCGCCGACCACAGGCGGCGGGGGGCUGCUGUUUGGCCGGUGGUGGCUGGCGGCUCAGGGGAGUGGAGGUUGAAGAUGAACCGCAUGCCCUUGAUUUCGUAUCCAAUGGCUGCAAAAUCGACUGACCAGAGAUGAAAAAGUCAGUCGACCGACAUGUAGCCUCACCUUGCUAGUGCGUUCAGUUUCGACAGCAAAAUUCAGUUUCGACAGCAAAAUUCAGUUUCGACAGCAAAAUUCAGUUUCGACAGUUAAGUUCAGUUUCGACAGUUAAAUUCAGUUUCGACAGUUAAGUUCAGAGAUGAGCGGCUAAUGCAUUUUACAUCUAGCAGUUUGUGGUUAUGUAUUUUACGUCAUGUAUUGGAGAUGCUAUUAGAAUUCCACUGAGGUUAACAUUGUUCGUUGUCUCUCUUGUCCUGCUUCAGCCUCGGCGUCGUACAACUCACCGGAGCUGCUCCAACAACGAAACCCUCCAUCACGGCAGAGCAGUACCUCGGGCUCCAUCUCCAGAUGCCUAAGAUCUUCUUCCCCUCCUCCGACAGCAAAGUCAGUCGGAGCAUCCUCACCGGCCAGCCCAAUCACGCUGAGAUCGACAUGGCUUCGCCAAAGAGGUUGUACACUUGUUGCAUCUCUUUUUUACUCUACAUGUUAUAUAUAUUGUCCACUGAGCACACGGAUUUGUUCCUUUAGUGUCUCCUUGAAAGAAAAAAUGUAGGAAUUUUAAUUUUCACUUAUCCUCCUUUUCAAAUUCCUAUUCAUGAAGCACAAGACUAAGAGAUAGUAGCAUAAUAGCAUUAUAACCGUACAUUUUCUUGUGGUUUGACUUAAUCUCACCAUGCUUCUUUGCAUCCUGUGAUCUUCCAAUUGUUGUGAAUCAAACACCCAGAUUGGCAGAAAUCCUGUGUUUUUAAAUUCUCUGUUUUGCACGUGCAUUCCUAUCCUAUUCCUGUCUAUUUCCUAUCCCUGCAUUGUUGGAAUCCUCCAAUUCAAACGAGCCCUUAUAGAAUUACUUCUCUUACAGAUAGUUGUCAAAGAAUACCUUGCGUGGUUUGUCCCGCUCCUGCUGCGCCGUCGUCCACCCUAGCUCAGCUGCUCCAACGAUAGAGGGGUCCAGCACAACAGGGAUCCGGUCUCCAGACUGUCUUUCGCCGCCUCAGAUCUUCUUCCACGCCGCCGACAGCCAUGAAAACUGCAUUACCAUCAUCAACAGAGCAGAUGACCUCGAGGACUACACGGGUCCGCAAGAGAGGUCGCACUCUUUCGUUUCUGAUUACGUUAUGCAUCGCUUAAUAUUACAUGCUACUUUAUCGUCCUGUUCACUGAUUAGACUCUGAGUCAGCUCCAAACUAAUGGUUAAACUUGAGUUUUCAAAUGGUUGUGGGGGUACAUAUCGGGGCCGCAAUCAAUAGUAUCUAUCUACUAUCUGGUUAAUCUCCGGUGUCUACUAUGAGUUUCAUGUUGGGUGGGAAACAAAUAGUAAAGAAGCCAUUAUCUGUAUUUUUUAACUGAAGCCAUUAUCUGCCUGCUAUUAUUGGUUUUGGGUCUAUCCACAGGUUGCUACCAUCACUCUGGAUUUCUGCAUGCACUCCUUACAUAAUCUCACUAUGUUUUAUUCCUAUGCAUGACAGUUAUUGUAAACAAUGGAACUGAACAUGUAGAGCAAAAGAGACGAGCCUUGCGUGGCAAUAAAAUUUCAUGCAGACGUCGCUCCAUGGUAGGCGCAAAGGCAGCCCCCCUCCACACAUUUCGGAUUGUAAUUGAGAGGAAGAUAUCUGUUCUGAGGGGGAUUCAGAAGGAGAAGACAACUCCUAUUUACCCCCUGAGGUCUUCGCUCUAACUUGGCAUGCUGAUGUUGGUUAUAUCAUGCAUAUGGUGUCUUGCAAUUCUUACUUUAUACAUCAAAUAUGUCAUCUGCUUAGUUUAGACAUCCUUUGUGCGAAUGCCAUUUGUUUAGUUUAUUCAUCGUUUAUGUGAAUUAUGCAACACCAUCUUGUUUAGCCAGGCAUCAUAUAUGUGAAUUUUGCAAUGCCAUCCUGCUUAGCCAGUCAUCUUAUAUGUAAAUUAUAUCAGGCCAUCCUUUUUUUCGUUACAUAUUACAUUUGUCAACAAUGUUAGUACAUUCAACUGCUCUUCGUGUGCAUCAGCCAUUUGACAUGAUGAUGGCAAAUUCUGGAGUGAAGACAAGGUCUUCAGAGCAGACUAUGCUAUCUGACAAAACGCAUAUCUCGCUGGUUAUGGAUAGCUCCUCAGAGGAGGAUUCAGAGACAGNNNNNNNNNNNNNNNNNNNNNNNNNNNNNNNNNNNNNNNNNNNNNNNNNNNNNNNNNNNNNNNNNNNNNNNNNNNNNNNNNNNNNNNNNNNNNNNNNNNNNNNNNNNNNNNCUUGGCAGGGUUAUGUUGCUCAUAUCGUGCGUAUGGUGUCUCACAUUGCUAUGUCAUUUGAUUAGUUUAGACAUGCUUUGUGUGAAUGCCAUGUGAAUUACACAAUGCUAUCUUGUUGCAAAGGAAUUAUAUAUGUGAAUUAUGCAAUGCCAUGCUGUUUAGCCAAUCAUCAUGUAUGUGAAUUAUAUCAUGCUAUCAUUUUUUUGUAUUACGUGUUCCAUUUGUCGACAACGUUUGAAUAUUCAACUACUCUUCCUGUGCAUCAGCCAUUUGAAGCGAUGAUGGAAGUAUCUGGAGUGAAAACAAGGUAUUCAGAGUAGACAAUGCUACCUGCUGAAGCAGACAUCUUACUGGUUACAGAGAGCUCCUCAGAGGAGGAUUCAGAGACUGAUGACCAGUCCUAUUUCCCCCCUGAGGUCUAUGCUCAAACUUGGCAGGGUUAUAUUACCCAUGUCAUGCAUGUUGUCUUGCAUUGCUUAGUUUUUACAUCAUAUAUGGAUUGCCAUCUGCUUACUUGCUUACUAUAUAAAUCAUAUAUUUGAAUUACAUCAUGCCAUCAUGUUUACAUAGUACAUACACAUCAUCUAUCUGAAUUAUGACAUGGCAACCCAUUUAAUAAAGACAUCAUAUAGUUAUAUCACCUCAUCCUGUUUAGUGUUUAUAGUCAUCAUAUUUUGAAUUAUGGCAUUCUAUCUGUGAAUGUAUGUGAAUUAUGGCAUGCCAACCUAUUUAAUAAACACAUUAUAUAGUUAUGUCAUGACAUCCUGUUUACAUAGUCUCAUAUUUUGAACUAUGUCUUUCCAUCUUUUUAGUUAGCCAUCAUAAUGUGAAAUUGUGUCAUGCUAUCCUAUUUAGUUAGCCAUCAUAUAUGUGAAAUUGUGUCAUGCUAUCCUGUUCGGUUAGACAACAUAAAUAUGAAUUAUUUCAUGCCCUCUUUUAUUCCCCACUAUCCAUUGCACCUGUCUAUCAUACAAUGUCUAUACUUUCAAUUGCUUUUCUUGUUUAUCAGCCAUUUGAAUUGGAGAGCGUGAUGGCAGUAUCUAAGGGAGUAACAACACAGUCUUCAGAAAAAAAUAGUGCUACCAGUUGAUGCAGAUAGAACCACGGUUGUACUUGCCCAAGGACCAGAUCCACCACACAUAACCCAGACUCUCACAGAUUGUACCCCUACCCAGUUGGACAGAGAACCAACUACACCCCUUCUAACCCCAACCCCGGCAGAUAGUAACCCAGUUCCAGUUGACACAGCACCGUCUCCACCACAGAGCACCCAAACACGAGCAGUUAGUAAGGGAACUACAGUGCCCAAAGCACGAGGACCACCACUCCGAAUCCCAACUCAGCGCUUAAAGGAGAAGAACAUUUGUUCUCAGGUCAGGUUCUGUAGCUAUGGUUCAUACUCCUUUGCUCUUGCAUUACUGUAUUUACUCAUACCAACUAUUUUCAAAUUUGAAGGAUGGAACUGAAACUCCAAUGGCGCAACAGGUAUGUUUUAAACCUGUUUCUUUAACUGGUUUGCUGUUGUAACCUGCUCUAUGUUGAUCAGUUUCAAUUGAAUAAACAGUUAUGUUCUCAUGUCAUGCACAUUACAAGUGUUGUUAUUGCUCUAUAGUUUCCCACACUUAUAUUUUGUCUAUUCUGCUUUGUCUUGAACAAAUAUUAUUUGAACUAUGUCUCUAUCUUGAUUUGGCAACAAAAACUAGAAUGAUAUAGACCAUAAAGUGACCAUGGUACAUAGAUAUAUGUUUGUUUCAUGCUGUUAUCAUGUCCACUUUACUACUGAACUCAUUUACCAAAAUGAGUUUCAUAUACAACAUGGUAAACAUGUGAUGUGUCUACUUGUUUCUCUUUUAGAAUGCGGACAAAAUAUUGGAGAACAGUACCGCGUUAUCCAAUGGUAAAGGAAGUAAUGCAGAUAAGGUUCAAGAUAGUGAGACAUCCCUGUUGGACUCCAAGAAAGCUGAUAAAAACUAUCUUGACGACAGUGAGAGAACCCAAAAGUCCUGUCUUGACGUAGUGUUAGAGUUACUGGCCACUACUGCUGGCACAAGCUCUUCGAACUCGCUGCCUGAAUCAGUUCGUCUUCUUGAGUCUCAACUUCAAGUUGAAAGACAUCGACCAGAUGUGCUGCGACAGGAAGCUGAAGGACUGAGGAAGUCCCUGCAAAAUUCAGAUGCAUAUUUCCUGGUACAACAGCAAGCGCUGGAGGAUUUAAGCGCCAAACAAGAGAAAGUUAAUAAGCUUGCUAAGCAUCUUGCCAGCAUUAUGGGUACCCAGGAUAUUGUUUCUUGAGAUCUUCUGAAGUGGUUUCAGUUCUGGAUUUGUUUUGCUGCGGCGUUUAUUUGCGCUGGGGUCGCCAACUUUGACAACCAGUGUAUAUGAUAUGCUGCUUUGUUCCCUAUAUUUGCACUGGUGGCGAACUUUGAUGCCCAGUGGAUGUAAUAUGUGUAAUAGCCGUGAUAGCCUAGCGUUAGUUGCUUGCUUAUUUAUUUCCUUGUUGUCUUGUUUAUUUGUUUGCUUGUAGUCAUUGCAGUUCUUUUUCCGCGGUUUGCUAGUGGCUGCAAUAACCUAUUUUUUAAAACUAGGCCACAAUAACCAUGGGCUAAUAUUUACUGUAGUGACACUGAGCCUCCUACGGGCCGUAGAAAUAGUGGGCCUUCUACGGGCCGUAGAAACAACGGGCCUUAUACGGGCCAUAGAAACAAUGGGCCUUCUGCGGGCCAUAUCAUCAAUGGGCCUUAUACGGGCCGUAUGAUCGAUUGGCCAAACAUGGGCCAAACAGACCGCAUUAUGGCCGUAAACGGGCUAGAGUUGGAAUCAUCCGUUCAUGGGCCGACCAUAACGGGCGUUAAUAGGCCGUAUUUGAUGACGCUAUGAAAACGGCCCAAUGUAUUAACGGACCACAAACGGGCCGACUGUAACCACGUGCUGAAUUUGGCCCACAAGAAGAAAAUGACAGUAAUGGGCCGUAAGUAAACGAAUGCUGGAAAUGAGCUCAAGAAUAAAUGGGCUCUGAGAAGGCCAAAAGAUAACAUGGGCUGGAAACGACCCAAUGGAAUAAUGGGCCGUUAAUGGGUAUAAGGUGGUACACUGUUCAUUACGGGCCAGUUUCACCACGGGUAGUUAAUGGGUGUAAAGUGAUACACUAUUCAUUACGGGCCAGUUUCACCACGGGCCGUUAAUAGGCCAAGAGUUACAAAGGGCCUCAUAUGGGCCGAAAGACGUCAUGGGCCAUACAUGGGCCAGAAGUGAAAACGGGCUGGAAUCAUAUUGGAUGGCCCAGAUGAUGCUACUUGGCCUAAUUCGGAUAGGGCGUAACGGGCCUUGGGUUAGCGGGCUGUAAAUGGGCUAUAUGCGAACAGGCCGUUAACAGGCUUUCCAUGGGCCGGCCCGCCACCUUUUGACCAAGUCAAACAGGCCGGCCUUUUCAUAGGAAUGGGCCUCUGUUGGGCCGUGCCACGUGUCGACGUAUCAUAGGCGCCUUCUAUCCAAUGAGUGGAUGACAUCUGUCCAAACGAUGAGCCGACACAUGUUUCCUCCAGCCAAUGAUGAUUUUACACGUGGAAAAUCCCCAUUGGUCGGGGCUGUUAACGGGUUAUCGGAUCCAAAACCUGAUCCAAUAGCUUAACGGCGUUCCGUUACGGUGGAUGCCACGUGUCGGUCACCCUUGACGAAAGCAAUUUUGUGACGUGUGAUUUAUCGUCAUGGAAGUGGACACUUCCGUGAUGAUAAUUUUGGUAAUGUCAUGGAACACUUCUAUGACAGCACAGGUAUGACUAUCUUGAUUCUGUCAUAAAAUCGUCAUGGAUGUACAUGCAUGACAAAAAUGCGACCUACUGUGACAAACACAUAUCAUCACGGAAGUGUAUUUUUUUUGUAGUGACCUAUACAAUUUGCCAUCAUACUGGGUGUGUUGGGGAUACAAGAGAUUUCUUGUAUUUGGUUGCAGGGUCGUUUGAGAGAGACCAUCUUCAUCCUAUAAUUCUCACGGAUUGAUAAACCUUAGGUCAUCCACUUGAGGGAAAAUUGCUACUAUCCUACAAAACUCUACGCUUGGAGGCCCAACACGUGUCUACAAGAAUAAAGUUACAUGUCUCUUGCGAUGCCCUCAGGGUGCGGUUGGAUUUGCCUUCCCACUAUAAAAGGUGGCCUUGUUCUCCAAGAAGACUUACCUCUUCCUCCCCCAAACUCCAUUGUUGCUCCAAAGCUCAUUUUCACCCGAUCUCUCUUCCUAGCCAAUCAAACUUAUUGAUUUUCUAGGGAUUGGUUGAGAAGGCCCGGAUCUACACUUCCACCAAGAGAUAUUUGAUUUCCCCCACUAAUCCCUUGCGGUUCUUGUUACUCUUGGGUGUUUUAGCACCCUAGACGGUUGAGGUCACCUUCCAUUGUGGUGAAGCUCCCUGGUAUCGCUGGGAGCCUCCAAUCAAGUUGUGGAGAUUACCCCAACCUUGUUUGUAAAGGUUCAGUUGCCGCCUUCAACGGCACCACUAGUGGAAUCACGACAUCUCGCAUUGUGUGAGGGCGUGAGGAGAAUACGUUGGCCCUAGUGGCUUAUUGGGGAGCAUUGUACCUCCACACCACUCAAACGGAGACGUACUUCCCCCAAAGGGAAGGAACUUCAAUAACACAUCGUCCACCGGCUCCACUUGUUGUUGUUGUUGUUGUUGUUGUUGUUGUUGUUGUUGUUGUUGUUNNNNNNNNNNNNNNNNNNNNNNNNNNNNNNNNNNNNNNNNNNNNNNNNNNNNNNNNNNNNNNNNNNNNNNNNNNNNNNNNNNNNNNNNNNNNNNNNNNNNNNNNNNNNNNNNNNNNNNNNNNNNNNNNNNNNNNNNNNNNNNNNNNNNNNNNNNNNNNNNNNNNNNNNNNNNNNNNNNNNNNNNNNNNNNNNNNNNNNNNNNNNNNNNNNNNNNNNNNNNNNNNNNNNNNNNNNNNNNNNNNNNNNNNNNNNNNNNNNNNNNNNNNNNNNNNNNNNNNNNNNNNNNNNNNNNNNNNNNNNNNNNNNNNNNNNNNNNNNNNNNNNNNNNNNNNNNNNNNNNNNNNNNNNNNNNNNNNNNNNNNNNNNNNNNNNNNNNNNNNNNNNNNNNNNNNNNNNNNNNNNNNNNNNNNNNNNNNNNNNNNNNNNNNNNNNNNNNNNNNNNNNNNNNNNNNNNNNNNNNNNNNNNNNNNNNNNNNNNNNNNNNNNNNNNNNNNNNNNNNNNNNNNNNNNNNNNNNNNNNNNNNNNNNNNNNNNNNNNNNNNNNNNNNNNNNNNNNNNNNNNNNNNNNNNNNNNNNNNNNNNNNNNNNNNNNNNNNNNNNNNNNNNNNNNNNNNNNNNNNNNNNNNNNNNNNNNNNNNNNNNNNNNNNNNNNNNNNNNNNNNNNNNNNNNNNNNNNNNNNNNNNNNNNNNNNNNNNNNNNNNNNNNNNNNNNNNNNNNNNNNNNNNNNNGUUGUUGUUAUUGUUGUUGUUGUUGUUGUUGUUGUUGCUGUUGUUGUUAUUGUUGUUGUUGUUGUUGUUUGCAUCAUAUAGGUUGCUCACCUAGUUGCACUUCUAGACAACCUUUUUGCCGCUAAACCUAAUUUGUUAAGAAAAGCUAAAAAUUGGUAGUUGCCUAUUCACCCCCCUCUAGUCAACCAUAUCGAUCCUUUCAAUUGGUAUCAGAGCCUCGUCUCUUUUAAGGGUUUCACCACCCAAAGAGUAUGGUUGACACCAAGGAGGAAGUGCCCGAGGCUGUGGAAUUGACUUUGAUCACUCAAGACGCCUUAAAUGAAGCUAUGGCUUCACUUAAGACGUCUAUGACGAUCGAAGUCAAGUCCAUGAUUAAAGAAUUACUUGAGGGUAUGAAAUCCACUCCCGAUCCCUUGUUUGUGGUUAAUCCCACGACAUCGGAGUCAGAGGCCAAAUCCGCCAAGGAAGUGGCUAAAGGUACUCAUGGUCCUUCCCCUCAUGACAAGAAUGGGACGGGAACCUUUGCCUCGGUUCCCCCUCCCCCAGUCUAUGGAGGACCGGUCCCUACACCUCACACCAAUAAUUAUUGUCCUCCUCCCAAGUUUGUUAAGGGUGAUUUCGCUAGUUGGGUCUUUCGCAUUAAGUCUCAUUUGAAUCAUUGCUCAACUAACCUUUGAAGAAUCAUUGAGCAAGGCUUCUACCUGCAUAAUCGAAACAACUUCAUCCCAAAGAGAAGUGGACAAUCAAUACAAUCACUCCGCAUUGUUCAUCCUUCAAGAUGCGGUCCCUCCAGAAGAUCUGUUGCACCUUCGACUAUUCACUCAUGCAAAGGAUUGUUGGGAGCACAUUGUUUCUAUGUACAUGAGCCCGAUGAAUUUGUCUUGCUUGAAGAUGAGGAUCCGCGCGAUAUCUACCGGAGGGUGACAACUCUUGCGGUUGCUCUCCAAGACCAUGGAAGCAAGGAUACAGAUGACACUUGGAUCAAGCGCAAGUUCCUCAAGGCCAUCAUGCCGUUCAACAAGGCCAUGUCUUCCGUGAUUCAUCAAAGGCCAUAGUUUCACACCUUAACCUCAAGUGAAGUGUUGGAUGAGUUUAUUUCCAUGACCAUCAAGAACAAGACCGCCAACAAUUCUCUUGCUCGUGUCUGGUCAAAGAAAAGCACUCCCACCCUUGCUUUGAAGGCCAAGGCCAUCGCGGAAGAAGAAGAGGAAGAGGAAGAUUAGUGCGGCCUCAAGGAGACCAAAUAUGCUUACCAUGAGCACAUGGCCCUUGCGUCAAGGCAAUUUUGGAGCAACAAGAGGAACUCAAGGCCCAACUUCACCAAGAACAACUCAAGUGGGUCAAAGAAAAACCAACUAGUAAGAACUUGCUACAAUUGUGGCAAUGUGAGUCACUUCAUGAUGGAUUGCCCUGACAAGAAGAGGGAAGACAAUGGUGGCAAACUCAUUCGCAAGGACAAAGCCAAGUAUUUUCCUCGCAAGAACAACUUCACCAAGAAUUCUCCUCCAAAGGGUUUGAUGGCACAUGAGAGUACCCCUCCGAUGAUGACGAGGAAGAUACAAGUGGACAAGGAAUGGCAACGGCAACCAUUUCCAUUGCUACAUCUUCCCCCUCCAAAGUGUCUCUCUUUGGCGCCCCCGACGAAAACACCAUUGCCAAGUGUCUCAUGGCCAAAGGUAUCAACAAGGUAACUCCUAACAUCAAAACUACCAUCAUUACUACCCCUUCAUUGUUAGAUUGUGUAGAUGUUAGUGAGGUGGAGAAAGUUGAUGAAAAUGAGUUCACCAAGUUUGUGAGCAAGCUCAAGGGUGUGUCCAAGAAGCACUUUGUUGAUCUCUUGGAACAACUUGGUGAGGCCAAUGAUAUCAUUGAGACUCAUGAGGAUACUAUCUCCAAAAUGGAGGGACAUAGUCGUGACUAUGCCGAUGAGAUUGCGGAUCUUUCCAUUGCUCUUGAGGAAGAGCGAGGUCUUCGUUUGACUCUUGAGGAGUCAGACAAAAUUGAUCAUGCUAAAUUGCAAAAAGAUCUUGAUCAUGCUAUUGUCCUUACUCGUGUGCUUAAAUCCGAGAAAGUUGCACUUGGGGUUGGCCAUGAUAAACUCCAGGAAGAAUUUGAUACACUUGACAAGGCUCACAAGGUCUUGAAGGGUGCUCAUGCUUCUCUCAAGGAGUCUCAUGAUUAACUCCAAGUGAAACUAACCAAGGAGAUUUCCACUUGUCCUCCUUUCAUUCUAAUCGAUAAUGCCCAUGCUACUAACCCUUGUUGCGAGCAUGUGCAUCUUGUGGAGGAAAAUUCUAAGUUGAAAGAGCAACUUGAGAAGAGCCUUUUGACUUGCAUCCAAGGCGAGAAGAACCUCAAUGAACUUUUUAGCAAUCAAAAGGAAGUUGUAGGAAAGGAAGGACUUGGGUUUGUACCCAAGUCAAAGAAGAAGAAGAACAACAAGAUCAAGCAAUCUCUCUUGCUCAAGGACACCUUUGUCAAGGCGGGUGAGGGUGCUCAUGAGAAGAAGAAGAAUGAGGAAGUGGGUGGUAAUGCCAAGAAGGGCAAAACUGCCCUUAACAACAAAGCUGGCAACUUUAAUCCCUCCUAUGUUUUGUGCCGUGCUAGUGAUGGACAUGUCUAUGCUAAAUUUGUUGGUUCUUAUUAUUAGUACAUUGAAUGGUCUAUUUGGGUUCCUAAGACCCUUCUUACUAACAUCAAAGGACCCAUUCAAAAAUGGGUACCUAAAUCCAAGCAUUGAUCUCUUGUAGGAGUUCGCUUCCGGUGGAGUGUCAUGGUUGCUCGAUAGUGGAGCAACAAAUCAUAUGACUGGGAGCAAGGACUUGGUGGUGGAUGUGCAUCCAAUUCCAUCUAUGCCCAUCCAUGUCCAAUUUGGUGAUGCUUCAACUUCUAAAGUAUUAGGACUUGGCAAUGUGGUCAUCUCUCAAGAUUUAUCUAUUGAGAAGGUCAUGCUUGUUGAGUCCCUUGCAUACAAUUUACUUUCUGUUUGUCAACUUGCACUUAUGGGCUUUGCAACAUUCUUUGAUCUUGAUACCGUGGCCCUUUUGUGGAGCAAGACUCUUAAAGUAUCCUUUGUUGGGCAUGUCGAGAAUGGUCUCUAUGUGGUGAACUUUUUGGAGCGACCCACUAAGACCGCGACUUGCCUAAUGGCUAAAGUUGAUGUGGGUUGGCUUUGGCAUCGCCGACUAGCCCAUGUCAAUAUGAGAUAUUUGCAAAGUCUUCUCAAAGGGGACCAUGUCCAUGGACUAACAAAUGUGAGUUUUGCCAAAGACCGUGCUUGCAGUGCUUGUAUCAAAGGAAAGCUUCAUGAAACGGCUCAUUGUCCCUCGACUAUCAUCCACUCGAAGAGGCCCUUGGAGCUCCUUCACAUGGAUCUCUUUGCACCUCCAUCCUUUGAUAGUCUUGGUGGAAGAAAGUAUUGCUUGGUGAUUGUGGACGACUACUCAAGAUAUACAUGGGUAUAUUUCUUCAAAAGGAAGAGUGAGACUCAACAAACCGUCAUCAACUUUGCAAAUGAAUCUCAAUGUUAACAUGAAGCAAAGAUCUUGAUGAUUAGAAGUGACAACAGCACUGAGUUCAAGAACUACACCGUGGAUGAGUUCCUUAGUGAUGAGGGGAUCAAGCACCAAUAUGCCGCACUGCUACUUCUUGAGCUUGCGUUGGUUUUUCCCUUGAAGAGGAAAGGGUGAUGCAGCAAAGUAGAGAUAAGUAUUUCCCUCAGUUUGAGAACCAAGGUAUCAAUCCAGUAGGAGACAACACACAAAUCACUAAAUACCUGCACAAACAAUCAAACAACUUGCACCCAACGCGAUAAAGGGGUUGUCAAUCCCUUCACAAUUACUUGCAAAAGUGAGAUUUGAUAGAGAUAGAUAAACGAUAAAGUAAAUAUUUUUGGUAAUUUUGGUUUAUAGAUCGGAAAGUAGAUUGCAGAAAUAGUAAAUCAGAAACUAAUAUUGUAGAACAAAAACUUAUAUGAUGGAAAAUAGACCCGGGGGCCAUAGGUUUCACUAGUGGCUUCUCUCAAGAUAGCAAAUAAUACGGUGGGUGAACAAAUUACCGCCGAGCAAUUGAUAGAAACGCGCAAAGUUAUGACGAUAUCUAAGGCAAUGAUCAUGAAUAUAGGCAUCACGUCCGUGUCAAGUAGACCAAAACAAUUCUGCAUCUACUACUAUUACUCCGCACAUCGACUGACUCCUGCCUGCAUCUAGAGUAUUAAGUUCAUGAAGAACAGAGGAACGCAUUAACUAAGAUGACAUGAUGUAGAGGAAUUAACUCAAGCAAUAUGAUGAAAACCAAUCUUUUUAUCCUCGAUGGCAACAAUACAAUACGUGCCUUGCUACCCCUACUGUCAUUGGGAAAGGACACCACAAGAUUGAACCCAAAGCUAAGCACUUCUCCCAUUGCAAGAAAAACCAAUCUAGUUGGCCAAAAACAAAAAGAUAGUUCGAAGAGAAUUACAAAGAUAUCAAAUCAUGCAUCAAAGAAUUCAGAGAAGAUUCAAAUAAUAUUCAUAGAUAAGCUGGUCAUAAAUCCACAAUUCAUCGAAUCUUGGCAAACACACCGCAAAAAAGUAUUACAUGGAAUAGAAAUCCAAUAACAUCAAGGAGAACAUGGUAUUGAGAAUCAAAGAGAGAGAAGAAGCCAUCUAGCUACUAGCUAUGGACUCGUAGGUCUGUGGUAAACUACUCACGCUUCAUCGAAAGGGCAAUAGAGUUGAUGUAGAAGCCCUCCAUGAUCGAAUCCCCCUCCGGCAGGGUUCCGGAAAAGGUCCCUAGAUGGGAUCUCACGGGUACAGAAGGUUGCGGCGGUGGAAAGGUGUUUUCGUGGGUGCCUCUGGUGGUUUGGGGAUAUUUGGGAAUAUGUAGGUGAAAGAAUUAGGCCAGGAGGGUCAUGGGGGGCCCACAAGGGUGGGGGGCGCGCCCUACCCCCCUGGGCGCACCCUCCAUCCUUGUGGCCGCCUCAUGGCUUCUCCGAUUUGAUCUCCAAGUCUCCUGGUUGUCUUCUGGGCCAAGAAAAAUCAUCGCGAAUGUUUCAUUCCGUUUGGACUCCGUUUGGUAUUCCUUUUCCGCGAAACUCAAAAACAAGGAAAAAACAGGAACUUGCGCUGGGCUCUAGGUUAGUCCCAAAAAUAGUAUAAAAUAGCAUAUUAAUGCAUAUAAAACAUCCUAAACAGAUAAUAUAAUAGCAUGGAACAAUAAAAAAUUAUAAUACGUUGGAGACGUAUCAUGCACCCUAUACCCCUCAACAAAAUGGUGUGGUGGAGAGGAAGAACCGGAUGUUGAUCGAUGCGGCAAGGACCAUGAUGGAAGAAUUCAAAUCUCCAUACAACUUUUGGGCCAAAGCCAUCAUUACCGCAUGGCAUGCAUCCAAUAGGCUCUACCUCCACAAAGGCUUGAACAAGACUCCAUAUGAGAUACGUACCUGCAACAAGACCAACCUCAAGUACUUCUGGGUGUUCGGUUGUAAGUGUUUCAUUCUCAAGAAAGGUGUUCGUUUGUCUAAAUUCUAACCUAGAGCUCAAGAGGGCAUAUUUGUUGGUUAUGCUACAAGCUCUCAUGCUUACCUUGUCCUCAACAAGUCCACCGGACUCAUUGAGGAGACGUGUAACGUGGAGUUUGAUGAAAAUAACGGCUCCCAAGUGGAACAAAGUGGUCUUUGUGAUGUAGGUGAUGAAAUUCCUCCACAAGCCAUAAGAAGAAUGGGGAUUGGUUAAAUACUCCCCAUUGAGGAACCCCUUGUGGCCGAAGGAGAAGGAUAAUGCUCUACUGAAGUGGAGCCAUCACCUAUGCAAGACCCACAUGCUUCCAAAGAACAAAGUGAAGGCCCUCACCUCAAUGAACAAGAUCAAGGGCAAGAUCAACCCCAUGGAGAUGGUGAUGCACCAAAUGAUGCCCAAGAUCAAGUUCAUGCCUCCGGGCUUGCUCAAAAUCAAGAGCAAGCUCAAGGUUAAGAGCAAGCUCAAGACCAAGAGCAAGCUCAAGACGGUGCUCAAGAUGUGCAAGAUGAUCCUCAAAUGCCUAUCGAGGAACUUUUGGAGUGUUGUGCCGCUAAGGUGGCUUCCAAGCUCGAGCGUCAACAACAUGUCAUGGAGAAUGUGCUUGGAAACUUGAGAAAAGGGGUAACUACUUGUAAACAAUUGUUAAACGUUUUUGAGCAUCACAUGUUUGUUUCGUGUGUUGAACCCCAAAAGGUACAUGAGGCGCUCGAUGAUGAGGAUUGGCUUGAAGCUAUGCAUGAUGAACUCAACAACUUCAAGCGCAAUCAAGUUUGGGAAUUAGUGCCAAGACCAACGGAGGAACACAAUGUCAUUGGGACCAAAUGGAUCUUUAAGAACAAGCAAGAUGCGAAUGAUGUGGUUGUUCAAAACAAGGUAAGAUUGGUGGCACAAGGCUACUACCAAGUCAAGGGUAUCGACUAGGUGAAACCUUUGCCCCCGUUGCUCGUCUUGAAUCUAUUCACAUGUUGCUUGCUUAUGCAUCUCAUCAUGAUUUUAAAUUGCAACAAAUGGAUGUGAAAGUGCAUUUCUUAAUGGUCCUUUGAAUGAGUUGGUGUAUGUCAAACAACCUCUGGUUUUCGAGGAUCCCAAGCUCCCCACUCAUGUAUACAAACUCAAAAAGGCGCUCUGUGGCCUUAAAUAAGCCCCAUGUGCAUGGUAUGAGCACCUUACCGAGUUGUUGCAAGAUCGUGGAUUUGAAAUUGGGAAAAUCGAUCCCUCUCUUUUUACUAAGAGGGUCAAAGGGGAUUUGUUCAUAUGCUAAUUAUAUGUUGAUGAUAUUAUUUUUGGUUCUCCUAAAAAAUCUUUCAAUGAUGAGUUUGCCGCACUAAUGAUCGAGAAGUUUGAGAUGUCUAUGAUGGGAGAGUUGAAGUUCUUUCUUGGGUUCGAAGUCAAGCAAAGAAGAGAAGGAACGUUCAUCAACCAAGCCAAGUAUACCCAAGACAUGCUCAAGAGAUUCAAGCUAGAUGAUGUCAAGCCGAUCAAGUUUCCCAUGCCCACCAAAUGCAAGCUUGAUGGUGAUCCCAAUGGUAAAGCGGUGGAUCAAAAGGUAUAUCACUCCAUGAUUGGAUCCUUGCUUUACCUUUGUGCAUCUAGACCGGAUAUCAUGUUGAGUGUGGGAAUUUGUGCAUGGUUUCAAGCCGCACCUAAGGAAUGUCACUAUGUGGCGGUCAAGCGAAUCUUUUGAUAUUUGGCUCAUACCCCAAACUUUGGCUUAUGGUACCCCAAAGGAGCAAGCUUCAAUCUCAUGGGUUACUCGAACUUGGAUUGGGCAGGAGAUUGUGUAGAGAGGAAGUCAACUUCUGGAGGGUGCCAAUUCCUUGGUCGCACUUUGGUGAGUUGGUCUUCAAAGAAGAAAAAUUGUGUGUCUCUCUCGUCCAUUGAGGCCGAAUAUGUAGCCGCCGCAAGUUGUUGUGCGCAAUUUCUAUGGAUGAGGCAAACUUUAAAGGAUUAUGGUGUCACAUGUGACAAAGUGCCUCUUCUAUGUGACAAUGAAAGUGCUAUCAAGAUUUCUCUCAAUCCGGCGCAACAGAGCAAGACGAAGCAUAUUGAGAUUCGUCAUCAUUUUAUUCGAGAUCACAUCAAGCGGGGAGAUAUUGAUAUCAUCUACAUCAAUGAUACGUCUCCAUCGUAUCUACUUUUCCUAACGCUUUUCCUCUUGUUUUGGACUCUAAUUUGCAUGAUUUGAAUUGAACUAACCCGUACUGACGCUGUUUUCAGCAGAACUACCAUGGUGUUGUUUUUGUGAAGAAAUAAAAGUUCUCAGAAUGGAACGAAACUUUGCGAGGAAUUUUUAUACAAUAAAAGAGAAUUUCUGGAGCCAAGAACCAUCGGAGGGGGGCACCAGGGUGCACCACCACCUCCAGGCAUGCCCUGGUGAGUUGUCCCCACCUGGUGGCCCCGCAGACCUUGAAACCAAUGCUAUAAAAUCCUAUUUUUCUAGAAAAAAUCAAGGAGAAAGAAUUAUUGCAUUUCACGAGACGGAUCCGCCGCCGUCUCCUGUUCUUCAUCAGGAGGCCAGAUCUGGAGUCCGUUUGGGGCUCCGGAGAGGGAGAUCUUUGAUCAUCGUCAUCAACAACACUUCUCCAUCGGCAAUUCCAUGAUGCUCCCCACCGGGAGUGAGUAAUUCCUUCGUAGGCUCGCUGGUCGGUGAGGAGUUGGAUGAGAUUCAUCAUGUAAUCGAGUUAGUUUUGUUAGGGACUAAUCCCUAGUAUCCAUUAUGUUCUGAGAUUGAUGUUGCUAUGACUUUGCCAUGCUUAAAGCUUGUCACUUUGGGACCGGGAGCCAUGAUUUCAGAUCUGAACCGUUUAUGUUAUCACCAUUAUAUCCAUGUUCUAGAUCCGAUCUUGCAAGUUAUAGUCACCUACUACGUGUUAUGAUCCGGCAACCUCGGAGUGACAAUAGUCGGGACCACUCCCGGUGAUACCGUAGUUUGAGGAGUUCAUGUAUUCACCAUGUGCUAAUGCUUUUUUUUCGGUACUCUAUUAAAAGGAGGCCUUAAUAUCCCUUAGUUUCCAAUAUGACCCCGCUGCCACGGGAGGGUAGGACAAAAUAUGUCAUGUAAGUUCUUUCCAUAAGCACAUAUGACUAUUUACGGAAUACAUGCCUACAUUAUAUUUAUGAACUGGAGCUAGCGCCGUAUCGCCCAAGGUUAUGAGUGUCUCAUGAUGAAUAUCAUCCAACGAGUCAUCGAUCCAAUGCCUACGAUUUUCCUACAUAUUGUUCUUGCUAAGUUACUACUGCUAUUGUUACUAUCAUUACUGCUACAAAAUCACUGUUAUCACUGUUACCAUUACUAUUGUUGCUACCACUAUUAUCAAAACUAUCAUAGUACUUUGCUAUGGAUCACUUUGCUAGAUAUAAUUAAUCUCCAAGUGUGGUUGAAUAAACAACUCAGCUGCUAAUACUUGCAAAUAUUCUUUGGCUCCCCUUGUGUCGAAUCUAUAAAUUUGGGUUGAAUACUCUACCCUCGAAAACUGUUGCGAUCCCAUAUACUUGUGGGUUAUCAAGACCUUUUUCUGGCGCCGUUGCCGGGGAGCGUAGCUAUAUUUAUUGAGUCACUUGGGAUUAUUAUCAUGAAGAAUCUGCAGGAUACUAAGACUAAGACCCUCUAAGACAAGGGGAGGUAAUGAACUGCCAUCCAACUACGCUUUAGAUUCACCUUCUGUUAUAAGUAAACUUGCAACACCACCACAUGAUAUUAAUUCUGAUAUGUCGCAAGUUAUUGAUGAUGCUACUUCUGCUAUGAAUGCUACUCAUGAUGAUGCUAGUACCUUGCUUGAUGAUAAUGUGCCACUAGGUGAAUUUCUUGAUGAACAAAUUGCUAGAGUAAGACAACUUGAUAUUGUUGAAACUAAUGAUGAGCUUGAAACUAAAAAUCUUGAAACACCUACUAGACCUAGCCCUCCUAGAUAUGAAUUGCCAAAGGUACUGAAUUGCCAAAGGUACCAGAAGGUUAUGCUAUGAGUGAGAAGGCAACUAGAGAUAUUCUUGCUUGUGAGGAUAGAGAUGAUCUAGAAAAAUUAUUAUGCAAGUAUAAAGAAAGAUCUUCGAAUGCUAAAAUGAAAUGUGGUCCUAAGUUUGCUACUUCACCUAUCUUUAUUUAUGAUAAGGAUUAUGAAUUCUCUGUUGACCCAGAGUUAAUUACAUUGGUUGAAUCUGAUCCUUUUCAUGGUUAUGAAACUGAAACUGUUGUGGCACAUCUUACUAAUUUGAAUGACAUAGCCACCCUUUUUGCUCAUGAUGAGAAGAUUUGCUAUUACUAUAUCCUCAAAUUAUUCCCGUUGUCAUUAAAGGGUGAUGCUAAAGCUUGGUACAAUACUCUUGCUCCUGGUUGUGUGCAUAUUCCCCAGGAUAUGAUUUAUUACUUCUCUAAAAAAUAUUUCCCUGCUCAUAAGAAACAAGCUGCCUUGCAGGAAAUAUUUAACUUUGUGCAAAUUGAAGAAGAGAAUCUCCCACAAGCUUGGGGGAGUGUCGGUGUCAAAACCAGCGGAUCUUGGGUAGGGGGUCCCGAACUGUGCGUCUAGGCGGAUGGUAACAGGAGACAAGGGACACGAUGUUUUUACCCAGGUUCGGGCCCUCUCGAUGGAGGUAAAACCCUACUCCUGCUUGAUUAAUAUUGAUGAUAUGGGUAGUGUCGGUGUCAAAACUGGCGGAUCUCGGGUAGGGGGUCCCGAACUGUGCGUCUAGGCGGAUGGUAACAGGAGACAAGGGACACGAUGUUUUGACCCAGGUUCAGGCCCUCUCGAUGGAGGUAAAACCCUACUCCUGCUUGAUUAAUAUUGAUGAUAUGGGUAGUACAAGAGUGGAUCUACCACGAGAUCAAGGAGGCUAAACCCUAGAAGCUAGCCUAUGGUAUGAUUGUUGUAAUGGUUGUCCGUCCUAUGGACCUAAACCCUCCGGUUUAUAUAGACACCGGAGAGGGCUAGGGUUACACAGAGUCGGUUACAACGGUAGGAGAUCUACAUAUCCGUAUCGCCAAGCUUGCCUUCCACGCCAAGGAAAGUCCCAUCCGGACACGGGACGGAGUCUUCAAUCUUGUAUCUUCAUAGUCUUGGAGUCCGGCCAAAGAUGAUAGUUCGGCUAUCCGGACACCCCCUAGUCCAGAACUCCGUCAGUAGCCCCUGAACGACGAGUCCGGUGCGCGUAUUGUCUUCAGCAUUGCAAGGCGGGUUCCUCCUCCGAAUAACUCAUAGAAGAUUUUGAACACCAGGAUAGUGUCCGGCUCUGCAAAAUAAGUUCCACAUACCACCGUGGAGAGAAUAAUAUUUACACAGGUUCAAUCUGCUGACGUAUUUCGUGGCAUGACGUCACACCACGGCCAAGCCUUUAUUCGAAUUGUUUUUAUUGUUCCACCUCAGCGCAUUUAGCGAAGCGGUUUCCUUGGCACGUCUUGUCGAAGCAAAGAUCGUGUCCCCUUAUUCCGGGGUUCUCAUCAAUACAGGCGUGGGUAACCCAACCACGCCAUUGAUUGCGGCGCUUGGGAGAUAAGCGAGUUUUACCAGGCUGGUGGGGACGCUUAGUUUCUUCCGCCCAUAUAUAAGGGGACAAGGAUCCACCUUUUUACCUACGCCUUCUUCCUCCUUUGCCUAUCCAUCUCCGCGCACUCGAGCUCCAGCGCCCAAGUUUGCACAUCUCGUCUCAACCUUCUCCAGCCAUGUCCGGAGCGGGAGGCAAGUGGAUGGCCUCCUCCGUUACGGAGGGGCACAUCAAGAAGCUGCGCGGUGCCGGAUACCUGUCCAGCGACAUCGCGCACCAGCUGCUCGACGAGGGGCAGCUCAUCCCCACCCCCAGGCCCCAUGAGAGGGUCGUACUUCUUCCCCACUUCCUUCGCGGACUGGGCUUCCCACUUCACCCCUUAGUCUGGGGGCUCAUGUACUACUACGGCCUGGACUUCCACGAUCUGGCGCCAAACUUCAUCCUCAACAUCUCGGCGUUCAUCGUCGUGUGCGAGGCCUUCCUCUGCAUCCAGCCCCACUUCGGCUUGUGGCUAAAGACCUUCAAUGUCAAGCCGAAGGUGGUGAAGGGCGUCCAAGCGGAGUGCGGAGGCGCCAUGGUGGGCAAAAUGCCCAACGUCACCUGGCUCGAGGGUACCUUCGUGGAGUCCAUCAAAGGGUGGCAAUCGGGGUGGUUCUACAUCACCGAGCCGCGUGACCCUAAAUGGGCAGCGGCCCCCGAGUUCAGAUCUGGUACUCCCAUGCAGCUCACCUCCUGGAAAGAGAAGGGCUUGCUAUGGGGUAGUUCGGAGGAGCUGACCAGACUCCAGUCCUAUCUCCAGACCCUGGUGAACAAGAAGCUUAAGCUUGUCAACGUGAUCCAGGUCAUGCUCGUUCGUCGGAUUCUCCCCUGCCAGCAACGGGCCUUCAAUUUGUGGGAGUUUGAUCCGGCAUAGCACCGGACCUUGAGCGAGCUCUUCGACACGACGUACGAAGCUGCCUGGAGGGUGCUGUUCAAGGGUGGAGAAGCCCCUGCAUCCGCAACUGAAGAUUGUGGAUUCAGCACACAGCGCCCGGCCGGCGAGGUAAGCUAUGUUAUCCUUUAUGGGACACUCAUUUCUUUCAUAGUUUGACUCUAUGUGGGAUCUAAAACUCCCAAUGCCUUUAACAGGACUGGCAGAAGACGUCUGGACAGGUUAACUGUCCGGCUCCCCUUCUCGAAGACCCAGCGGACACUCGUUUGACGGGGCUGCUAGUUCCGGCCCUUUACGUGGUGCCAGAGAAGAAGGCCAAGAAGAAGGCCACGGGAACCCGAAGGAGUUCCCGGUGCCAGGUGGUAUCGGACUCAUCAUCCGAUGACUCCGAGGCGGACUCCUCCCCCGAGGAGGAGGAGAAAGAGGCCUCUUCCCCAGCAGGGGGAGAGAAGAAGAGGAAGGCCUCCCCAACGAGGGCGGUCGAAGGGUCCAAGAAAGGACGGACCCUUCCUCCGGACUGCUCCGCCAACACCGACGAUGGCGACAAGGAGUGGCCCUCAAGGGCCAAGCCCCUGGCAAGAUCAUAAGUGUCCGAAUUCCUGGAUGAUUUAUAAUUUCUCUUUUUGCCACGUGGUGUCCUUCUAAUGCCGCAUACAACCUGUAGUCCGGCCAAGGACGAUCUUCCUGCUUCGUCGAGCGGGUCCUUGGCUCCGUCGGAUAUGGAUUCCCUUCCGACCGCCUCCACCCCUCGUGACGCUGAUGACGCCGAGGUGGGAUCCCAGGAGGGGACCCACCAGGAGGGGGAGGCUCCAGAGGUGCCAUAGGGCAACCUCCCGGACUUCGCACCGGACUCCGCACCGGAACCCGUAGUGGUUCCGGAGUCCGGCAGGCGGUCCCUUCGUAAGAAGGGCAAGACUGUGACACCGGCGGCCGCCGUCCAACCGGAGGCGCCGGAUAACUUGUUGGAGGCGCUCAACAAUGCUUCCAUCGAAGAAGAACACCGCACUGUCAUGAGUGCGGUGAUUCAGAAGGUUCAGCUCGCCAAGAGCGGGCUGACCGAAGCCUGCAGUAGCCUUCUAACAGGCUUUGAGGUAAGAAUUUUAAGACAUGUAAUAUAAUACCGCAUAGACAGUAGCCCCUGAUGCUCGGUUCGGUGUUUGGAAAGAAACCGGACUGAGGAUCUUACAAAGAUAUACGCAGGAGUUCUAAAAAAUAUGUCAAUAUGGGAUUGCAGGCUGCGCUGCUGACCUUUGCCGCACUGACUGCGGAGGUCGAUGCUUUGAAGCAGAACCUCGAGCGGUCCGAGAGCGAGCUCGGCCAUGCCAAGAAGCAGCUCGAGGACAAGGAAGGUGAGUAACACCGUAUUAAAUUUAUACCUUACAGAAAAGGAUUUGGUUGCAAGGGGAAUAACAUGGAUAACAUGGGUACUACAGGGGCCACGAACGAGGUGGCGACCCUGAAGGAGGCUGUGUCCGCGGUCGAACGCAAUGCGGCCGCGGAACGAGCCGAGCGAGAGAAGCAGGAGGCGCGGGUGGCGGAGGUGCAGCAAGAGCUCCAGGCUCUCAUGGAAAAACAUGAGGGUUUGGAGCGCGACUCAAAGACUCGAGAGUCUGAGCUUGCGCCGGCUCUUGAGAGCGCCAAAGCCGCUAAGGACGAAGCCCACAAGGCCCUCCAGGAGAUCGAGGAUUUAAAGAAAAUAGCAGCGGGUAAGGCAUUUUUCAUGCAAAGCAAGCAUGUUAAUGUGAAUUACCUAUUACUUACCCGAAUUUGGAGCUCUCCAGGAGCGUUCGCGGAUCUGCCCCGCGGCGUGUCAGAUGCUGACGCUUUCUACCGGGCCGAGGAGGGGAGCUCGACGGAGAAGGUCUUCUGGUCUCAGUAUGCUGAGGCCGAACAUCCGGUGCCCCUUAGCGACAUGCUGAAGCAGCUGGUCGAGCUCCACAAGGUAGCCGAACAGGCCAUGAAGGGCCUCAUAGUUCGGCUGUGGCCCAAAGAGGCCAUGCCUGGGAGCUACUUCGGCCUGUUACGACGGCUGGUGGACGCGUGUCCCUGGGUUGAGGUCGUCAAGCAUUCCGCCUGCAUUGAAGGUGCCCGUCAGGCCCUUGCCCGUGCAGAGGUACACUGGGGCAGGAUGGAUGCUGAGAAGCUGCUGACGGACGCGCCACCGGCAGGCAAGGAGUAUCGUACGCCCGAAAUGUAUUAUAAGAGUGUCCUGAAGGGUGCCCGCAUGAUUGCGGGUGAGUGCUCCAAAGAAGUAAUAUUUGAGUAGACUCGCAAUGUGUUAUCCUGUGCGCUGAAAACUUUGUUCAUAUGCGCUAAGCAACGCUUAUUAAUUUAAAAUAUUACCUUCUGUGCGGCCGUUUAUCAAAUCUGAGAGAUGGCAAGUCGUUGGCUUCAGCCCCCAUGCCACGAGUGCUGGGGUGUUCGGGAUAAACUUGAGCGCUCUUGUUCCCAUUGUUGGGUCCAUCUAGGGAGGCGCUCAACACAACGAACGAGGCAACCAGAUUUAUAAUGCUUGAACACUCUCACUUAGCCAUAGAAUUCUAUAAUUUUAAAUUUCGGCCAAACCCCUAGUGUUUGGAAGACCGAGUUCGGGGCGCUAUCCACGCCUGGGCCGGACAAAGCCGGUUCCUCGCUCUAAGCGGCAUAAGCCUUUAGGGACUCGAAAAGACCUCUCGAACAGCGACCAGCUCUCGCCUUAUCAUGAUGGUCAGUUUUAGCUUUCUCCACUAAGGCGCUCGCCCAGCUCAACCGGGGCGCAAUCGCAGUGGUUCUCCUAGUGCUACCUUAGCCGAUAAAACGGAACGUAAGGUACCAAAACAUGGGAGCCGGGCAAACCCAACUAUUGACCCAAGACAUGAUUCGGAGCCGAUGCAUAUAAUGCUAUAAGUUUGGGGUGCCGCACUUGUGAAAGUGUUCGGACUUAUCACACCAUAAUGCGGGGAACUUAAGCCCCUGGUGUAUUCGGCCGUACCAAAGUGUACGGAUGCAAGAUGUCAUAAAUGAACAUAUAUAUAAGGAAGAAAUGCAAUUAUAAGCGAAAAGCGAUGCAUUGUUUAUUCAAGGAAUUCUGGGAUGAAUGCAGAAUGAUACAAAUAGUGCGGUAAGCAAGGGGUAAAACUAUUAAACAUGUCCCCCUCCAGGGGUAGGCUGCGGAAUGGUGUAUGAAAAUGGAUUUAAUGCUCGUAAUGGAGACCACCUGGAUACUCGCUGUAGCCCUUCUUCUCCCCUGGCUGUUGCAUCGUGUGUUUGGCAGGUCUACUACCGGACAGGGCUUCUGGGGAAUGGAUUCCUGUGCGUAAGAAAAAAAGAAAAAUAAAAAGAGUCACACACUUGGGAGUCCCUGGUGCGGUUAAGCCGCAUUCUGGGCCUGUGGUGGCCGUGCCCCUCCCCCUAUGCCGAUGGUAUCUUCAGAGCGUAAUGAUGUACGCGAAGGACCAGUCUUGCAAUUUGGCAGGGGCUGGGGUUGGGGCCGCAUUGCUACGCGUGCUCGGAACGUGCCAGGUGGUCUUGUUGUAGGUUACUCCGGGCGCGUUUGGCCGUGUCUGGUCGCUUAACGGACGGACUCGAAAAUUGCUGUAAGCGGCUGCUCUGUACUUCUGUCGCGAGAGCCACUGUGUGUUCCUCCGAUCGGAGGGAGCGUUCAGUGUUUCCGUUGACCGUGAUGACUCCUCGAGGGCCUGGCAUCUUGAGCUUGAGGUAUGCGUAAUGCGGCACCGCGUUGAACUUUGCAAACGCGGUCCGUCCGAGCAGAGCGUGAUAGCCGCUGCGGAACGGGACUAUGUCGAAGAUUAACUCCUCGCUUCGGAAGUUAUCCGGGGAUCCGAAGACCACUUCCAGUGUGACUGAGCCUGUACAAUUGGCCUCUACACCUGGUAUGAUGCCUUUGAAGCUCGUCUUUGUAGGUUUAAUCCUUGAGGGGUCUAUGCCCAUCUUGCGCACUGUGUCCUGAUAAAGCAGGUUCAGGCUGCUGCUGCCGUCCAUUAGGACUCUGGUGAGGUGAAAUCCAUCGAUGAUUGGGUCUAAAACCAAUGCGGCGAAUCCGCCAUGACGGAUACUGGUGGGGUGGUCCCUUCGAUCAAAACUGAUCGGGCAAGAGGACCAUGGAUUGAACUUUGGGGCGACUGGCUCCAUCGCAUAUACGUCCCUAAGUGCACGCUUCCGCUCCCUCUUGGGUAUGUGGGUUGCGUAUAUCAUGUUUACCGUAUGCACUUGUGGGGGGAAACCCUUCUGUCCUCUAUUGUUCGGCGGCCGGGUCUCUUCCUCGUCAUCGCUAUGCAGCCCCUUGUCAUUGUUUUCGGCGAUUAACUUGCCUGCCUGCUUGAAUACCCAACAAUCCCUGUUGGUGUGAUUGGCUGGCUUUUCGGGGGUGCCGUGUAUCUGGCACGAGCGGUCGAGUAUUCGGUCCAAAUUGGACGGACCCGGAGUAGUUCUUUUGAAUGGCUUUUUCCGCUGACCGGGUUUAGAGCCUCUGAAUCCGGCGUUGACUGCCGUAUCCUCAGUGUUAUAGCCGUUAACGCGGCGUUUGUUUUUGUUUCCACGCGACCUGCCAUUGCGGUCCUUCGUAUCCGUACUGCCAGAAUUUUUGCUGAGGUUGUUACUGCGGGCUAGCCAGCUGUCCUCUCCCGCACAGAAGCGGGUCAUGAGUGAUGUGAGGGCUGCCAUGGAUUUCGGCUUUUCCUGUCCUAGGUGCCGGGCCAGCCACUCGUCGGGGAUGUUAUGCUUGAAGGCUACGAGGGCCUCUGCUUCCGGACAGUCGACGAUUUGAUUUUUCUUCGUUAAGAACCGUGUCCAGAACUGUCUGGCCGAUUUGUCUGGCUGCUAAAUUAUGUGGCUUAGGUCAUCGACGUCUGGUGGUCGCACAUAUGUGCCCUGGAAGUUGUCAAGGAAUGCGGCUUCCAGGUCCUCCCAACACCCAAUUGACUCUGCUGGCAAGCUGUUAAGCCAAUGCCGGGCUGAUCCUUUAAGCUUGAGUGGGAGAUAUUUGAUGGCGUGAAGAUCGUCACCGCGGGCCAUAUGGAUAUGAAGGAUAUAGUCUUCGAUCCAAACCGCGGGGUCUGUUUAGCCAUCGUAGGAUUCAAUGUUCACGGGUUUAAACCCUUCAGGGAUUUUAUUAUCCAUUACUUCAUCUGUGAAGCAUAGUGGGUGUGCGGCACCUCUAUAUUGGGCAAUAUCACGACGUAGCUCAAGAGAGCUUUGUCUACUAUGUUCGGCCCGGCCGGAGUUGCUGUAUCCGGCGCGAUGGUAGUCGUCGCGCAUCGUGGGGCGCCCACGUGAUCCGUAGAUCGAUCUUGAUUGUCUUGCCUUGUCCUCCAAUAUGUCUCGCAAGUCCGGCGCGUUCCCCCGUGGCUUCGUACUUUUCGAGCGGUGCCGGGGUACGGUUCUGGUGGAGGGCCUAGAUGCCUCUCUGUCGUGGCCACGAGGUGGUCGGUUUGCCGUAUUGUGCGCUGGUGAUGAGGGUUUAUAUGCCUCCUCCUCUAAUCGGGGGAGCAACUUGCGUUUUGGGUAGCUUUUGGAGGGGCGUUCGAGUUCAUGCUCUUCGGCCGCGAGGACUUCGGUCCAUCUGUCGGCCAGCAGGUCUUGAUCAGCUCGAAGCUGUUACUGCUUUUUCUUUAGGCUGUUCGCCGUGGCCAUUAGCCUGCGUUUAAAACGCUCUUGUUCGACGGGAUCCUCGGGCACGACAAAUUUGUCGUCGUUGAGGCUUGCCUCGUCUCCGGAGGGAGGCAUGUAAUUAUCAUCCUCUACCUCUUCGUCUGCCGCUCUCUCGUGGGGGCUGGCUUCUCCGUCCUCCUGUGCUGAAUCUUGCUGGAGGGGGUUGUCUUCGGCACUCUCUGGGGUGUUAUUAUCCCCGGUGCCGGAAUCUCCAUUCUUGCUGUGGCGGGAUUUAGAGGGGCGCCGCUGACGCCGGCGCUUGGGCUGUUUCUUAGAGGAAUCUGCCUCCGCUGCUUCUUUGCUAUUUCCAUCCUUUGGGAUGUCCACCAUGUAUAUGUCGUAUGACGAGGUGGUCUUCCAGUGCCCCAUAGGCGCUGGUUCUUGGUCGUCUCCGGCAUCGUCGUCCAUACCGUCGAUGUCUUCGGAGUCGUAGUCUAGCAUGCCGGUUAGAUCGUCGACAGUGGCUACAAAGUGGGUGGUGGGUGGGCCUUGAAUUUCUUUGUCGUCCGCAUCCCAACCGUCCUGACCGCAGUCCAGCCAGGGCUCUCUUGAUAACGAGAGAUACUUUAGCGAAUUCAGGAUGUCGCCAAAGGGUGAGUGCUGAAAGAUGUCCGCGGCGGUGAACUCCAUGAUCGGCGCCCAAUCGAAUUCGAUUGGCAGGGGCGCAGGAGGUUCGGAGUCCGGCACCUCGGAGUCAUGAGCUUUACAAGGGACAGGGUCAGUAUUCGGCUCCAUCGCCGUAGAGAUUGCAGCCCUCGAGGCGGUGUCUAGCCACCCGUCCUCGAUCUGCGCGGUCAGCUCCGAACUAAGGGUCGGAGCGGACUCAUGUGCGGCCUCCAGGGCACUGUCCGGCAGCAGAGCUACAUCAUGCCCAUCGUGACAGUGCGGCGCGCUCGGCUGUGGCUCGAAUCCGUCAAAGAUCAAGUCUCCAUGGACGUCAGCCGUGAAGUUUAGACUUCCAAAUCUGACCUGACGGCCAGGGGCGUAACUUUUGAUCUGCUCCAGAUGGCCAAGUGAAUUGGCCCGCAGUGCAAAGCCGCCGAAUACGAAAAUCUGUCCGAGGAGAAAAGUCUCACCCUAGACUGCGUCGCUAUUGAUGAUCGAAGGAGCCAUCAAGCCUAUUAGUGACGACACAGAGGAACUCUCAAUGAAAGCACCAAUGUCGGUGUCAAAACCGACGGAUCUCGGGUAGGGGGUCCCGAACUGUGCGUCUAGGCGGAUGGUAACAGGAGACAAUGGACACGAUGUUUUUACCCAGGUUCGGGCCCUCUCGAUGGAGGUAAAACCCUACUCCUGCUUGAUUAAUAUUGAGGAUAUGGGUAGUACAAGAGUGGAUCUACCACGAGAUCAAGGAGGCUAAACCCUAGAAGCUAGCCUAUGGUAUGAUUGUUGUAAUGGUUGUCCGUCCUACGAACCUAAACCCUCCGGUUUAUAUAGACACCAGAGAGGGCUAGGGUUACACAGAGUCGGUUACAACGGUAGGAGAUCUACAUAUCCAUAUUGCCAAGCUUGCCUUCCACGCCAAGGAAAGUCCCAUACGGACACGGGACGAAGUCUUCAAUCUUGUAUCUUCAUAGUCUUGGAGUCCGGCCGAUGAUGAUAGUCCGCCUAUCCGGACACCCCCUAGUCCAGGACUCCCUCAGGUAGUACAAGAGUAGAUCUACCACGAGAUCAGAGAGGCUAAACCCUAGAAGCUAGCCUAUGGUAUGAUUGUUGUUCGUCCUACGGACUAAAACCCUCCGGUUUACAUAGGCACUAAAGAGGGUUAGGGUUACACAGAGUCGGUUACAAUGGUAGGAGAUCUACAUAUCCGUAUCGCCAAGCUUGCCUUCCAUGCCAAGGAAAGUCCCAUCCAGACACGGGACGAAGUCUUCAAUCUUGUAUCUUCAUAGUCCAGGAGUCCGGCCAUCCGGACACCCCCUAAUCCAGGACUCCCUCGGUAGCCCCUAAACCAGGCUUUAAUGACGACGAGUCCGGCGCACAUAUUUUCUUCGGCAUUGCAAGGCGGGUUCCUCCUCCGAAUACUUCGUAGAAGAUUUUGAACACAAGAAUAGUGUCCGACUCUGCAAAAUAAGUUCCACAUACCACCGUAGAGAGAAUAAUAUUUACACAAAUUCAAUCUGCUGACGUAUUCCGUGGCGUGACAUCACUCCAUGGCCAAGCCUUUAUUCGAAUCAUUUUUACUGUCCCACCUCAGCGCGUUUAGCGAGGCGGUUUCCUUGGCACGUCUUGUCAAAGCAGAGAUCGUGUCCCCUUAUUCCGGGAUUCUCAUCAAUACGGGCGUGGGUAACCCAACCGCGCCAUUGAUUAUGGCGCUUGGGAGAUAAGUGAGUUUUACCAGGCUGGUGGGGACGCAUAGCUUCGUCCGUCCAUAUAAGGGGAUAAGGAUCCACCUUUUUACCUACGCCUUCUUCCUCUUUUCCUCACCCAUUUCCGCGCACUCGAGCUCCAGCGCCCAAGUUCGCACAUCCCACCUCAACCUUCUCCAGCUAUGUCCGGAGCAGGAGGCAAGUGGAUGGCCUCCUCCGUCACGGAGGGGCACAUCAAAAAGCUGCGGAAGGCUGGAUACUUGUCCAACGACAUCACACACCGGCUCCCCGACAAGGGGCAGCUCAUCCCCACCCCCAGGCCCCAUGAGAGGGUGGUGUUCCUCACCCACUUCCUCCGCGGACUAGGUUUUCCACUUCACCCAUUUGUCCGGGGGCUCAUGUUCUACUACGCCCUGGAUUUCCACGAUCUGGCCCCGAAUUUCAUCCUCAACAUCUCGACAUUCAUCUCGUGUGCGAGGCCUUCCUCUGCAUCCAGCCCCACUUCGGCUUAUGGCUGAAGACCUUCAAUGUCAAGCCGAAGGUAGUGGGCGGCUGCCAAGCGGAGUGCGGAGGUGCCAUGGUGGGCAAAGGCCAAUGUCCUAUGGCUUGAGGGCUCCUUCGUGGAGACCAUAAAGGGGUGGCAAUUGGGGUGGUUCUACAUCACCGAGUCGCAUGACCCUAAAUGGGCAGCGGCCCCCGAAUUCUGAUCUGGCUUCCCUACACGGCUCACCUCUUGGAAAGAGACGGGCCUGACAUGGGGUAAUUCAGAAGAGCUGACCGGACUCCAAACCUGUGUCCAAAACCUGGUGAACAAGAAGCUCAAGCUUGUCAACGUCGUCCAGGUCAUGCUCAUCCGCCGGAUCCUCCUGUGCCAACAACGGGCCUUCAACUUGUGGGAGUUUGAUCCGGCACAGCACCAAACCUUGAGCAUGCUCUUCGACACUACGUACGAAGAUGCCUGGAAGGUGCUGUUCAAGGGCGCCGAGGCUCCCGCAUCCGCUACCAAAGAUCGCGGAUUCAGCUCGCAGCGUCAAGCCAGCGAGGUAAGCUAUUUACCCUUUACAGGACACUUGUUUUUCAUAGUUUGACUCUAUGCGGGAUCUAAACUCCCUUACCUUUGACAGGCUGGCAAAAGACGUCCGGGCAGGUUAACUGUCCGGCUCCCUUGCCAGAAGACCCAUCGGACGCCCGAUUAAUAGGGCUGCUGGUUCCGGCACCUCACGUGGUGCCGGAGAAGAAGGCCAAGAAGAAGGCCACGAGAACUCGAAGGAGUUCCCAGCGCCAGGUGUUGUCGGACUCAUCGUCCGAUGACUCUGAGGCGGACUCCUCCCAUGAAGACGAGNNNNNNNNNNNNNNNNNNNNNNNNNNNNNNNNNNNNNNNNNNNNNNNNNNNNNNNNNNNNNNNNNNNNNNNNNNNNNNNNNNNNNNNNNNNNNNNNNNNNNNNNNNNNNNNNNNNNNNNNNNNNNNNNNNNNNNNNNNNNNNNNNNNNNNNNNNNNNNNNNNNNNNNNNNNNNNNNNNNNNNNNNNNNNNNNNNNNNNNNNNNNNNNNNNNNNNNNNNNNNNNNNNNNNNNNNNNNNGAAGAAAAGGAAGGCCGCCCCAACUGGGGAGGCCGGAGGGUCCAAGAAGGGAAGGACCCUUCCUCCGGACUACUCCACCAACGCCGACGACGGUGAAGAGGAGUGGCCACCGAGGGCUAAGCCCCUGGCGAAAUCGUAAGUGUCCGGAUACUAGAAUACCUCAUGGCGUUUCAUUUGUCGCACAGAAUCUCCUAAUGCCGAAUAUAACCCUGCAGCCCGCCCAAGGACGGGCUCGACGCUUCAACGAGCGGCUCCCUGGAUUCGUCGGACGUGAAUAGCACCUCUCUUCCGACUGCCUCCUCUCCUCGCGUGCGGAUGAUGCCGAGGUGGGGUCCUAAAAGGGGCCCAGCCAGGAGGAGGUGGUCCAGGAGGCGCCGCAAGGCAACCUCCCAGACUCCAGGCGCAAGGGAGAUAAAACCCCAAAGGGCUCUAAGUCCGGCCCUGGGCCGGACUCCGCACCGGAACCUUUAGUGGUUCCGGAGUUCGACAGGCGGCCCCUUCAUAAGAAGGGAGAGACUGCGACACCGGUGACCUCCGUCCAACCAGAGGCACCGGAUAAUUUGCUGGAGGCGCUUAACGGCGCCUCCAUCAACGAGGAGCACCGCACUGUUAUGAGUGUGGUGAUCCAGAAAGUUCAGUCCGCCAAGUGCGGGCUGACUGAAGCCUAUGCCAGCCUUCUAGCAGGCUUUGAGGUAUGUAUUUAAGAUAUGUAAAAAUAUUACCGCAUAGACAGUAGCCCCUGAUGCUCAGUUUGGUGUUCGGAAAGAAAAGCCGAACUGAUGAUCUAAAAAGAUGUACGCAAGAGUCUAACAUAAGUAUGUCAAUAUGGGGAAUGCAGGCUGCGCUGCUGACCUCUGCUGCACUGACUGCGGAGGUAAAUGCAUUGAAGCAGAGCCUCGAGCGGUCCGACAAUGAGCUCGGCCUUGCCAAAAAGCAGCUCGAGGACAAGGAAGGUAAGUAAUACCUUAUGGAAGUAUAUAAAAGAUGUGGUUGCAAAAAAUGACAGGAAUAACGUGAGUAUUGUAGGGGCCACGAACAAGGUGGCGACCCUGAAGGAAGCGGUGUCCAAGGCCGAAAGCAAUGCGGCCGCGGAGCGCACCGAGCGAGAGAAGCAGGAGGCGCGGGUGGCGGAGGUGCGGCAAGAGCUCCAGGCUCUCGUGGAAAAACACGAGAGGUUGGAGCGUGACUCAAAGACUCGAGAGUCCGAGCUCGCCUCGGCCCUUGAGAGCGCCAAAGCCGCUAAGGCCGAAGCCCAAAAAGCCCUCCAGGAAGUUGAAGCGAUGAAGAAGAUAGCGGCAGGUAAGGCAUUCUUAAUGCAAAGCAGGCACGUGAAAGUGAAUUACUUGUUACUUACCCGAAUCCGGAGCUCUCCAGGAGCAUUCGCAGAUCUGUCCUGCAGUGUGUCCGACACUGCCGCGUUCUACCGAGCCAAAGAGGGGAGCUCGACGAAGAAGGUGUUCUGGUCUCUGUAUGCUGAGGCCGGACACCCGGUGCCCUUGAGCGACCAGCUGAAGCAGCUGGUCGAGCUCCAUAAGGUGGCCGAACAGGCCAUGAAGGGCCUCAUAGUUCAGCUGUGGCCUAAGGAAGCUAUGCCUGGGAGCUACUUCAGGCUGGUGAGGCGGCUGGUGGACACCUAUCCAUGGAUUGAAGUCGUCAAGCGCUCCGUCUGCAUCGAAGGUGCCCGUAGGGCCCUUGCCCGUGCUAAAGUGCACUGGGGCAAGAUGGACGCUGAGAAGCUUGUGACGGACAGACCACCACCGGGCAGGGAGUAUCGCAAGCCCGAGAUGUAUUAUGAGGGCGUCCUGAAGGGUGCCCGCCUUAUACUGGGUGAAUGCUCCAAAGAUGUAAUUUUUGAGUAAACUCGCAUUUGUUAUCCUAUACGUUGAAAACUUGUUCAUAUGCGCUAAGCAACGCUUGUGAAUUUAAAAUAUUACCUUCUGUGCGGCCGUUUAUUAAAUUUGAGAGAUGGCGAGUCGUCAGCUUCUGCCCCCAUGCCACGAGUGCUGGGGUGUUCGGGAUAAACUUGAGCGCUCUUUUUCCCAUUCUUGGGUCCUUCGAGGGAGGCGCUCAACGCAACGAACGACGCAACCGGACUAUAAUGCUUGAACACUCUCACUUAGCCAUAGAAUUCUAUAAUUUUAAAUUUCGGCGAAGCCCCUAGUAUUCGGAAGACCGAGUUCGGGGUGCUAUCCACGCCUGGGCCGGACAAAGCCGACUCCUCGCUCUAAGUGGCAUAAGUCUUUAGGGACUCGAAAAACCUCUCGAACAAUGACCGGCUCUCGCCCUAUCAUGGCAGUCAGUUUUAGCUUUCUCCACUGAGGUGCUUAACCCAGCUCAACCGGGGCACAAUCGCAGUGGUUCUCCCAGCGCUACCUUAGCCGAUAUAAUGGAACAUAAGGUACCAAAACAUGGGAGCCGGGCAAACCCAACUAUUGACCCAAGACAUGAUUCGGAGCCGAUGCAUAUAAUGCUAUAAGUUCGGGGUGCCGCACUUGUGAAAGUGUUCGGACUUAUCACACCAUAUUUUGGGGUACUUAAGCCCCUGGUGUAUUUGGCCGUACCAAAGUGUACGGAUGCAACAUGUCAUAAGUGAACAUAUAUAGAAAAAAAGGAAUGCAAUAAUAGGCAGAAGCUAUGUAUUGUUUAUUCAAAAAGGCUGCAGUAAAAGCAGAAUGAUACAAAUAGUGCGAUAAGCAAUGGACGGGACUAUUUGACCUGUCCCCCUCCAGGGGCGAGCUGCGGGAUGAUAUGUGAAACAAGUAUACUGCUCGUUAGAGACCACCUGGACACUCGACGUAGCUUCUGCUUCCCUGGCUGUUGCAUCGUGUGUUCGGCGAUUCUACUGCCGGACAGGGCUUCUUGAGAACGGAGUCCUGAAAGUAAGAAAAAAAGAAUAACACAAUCGGGAGCCCCUGGUGCGGUUGAGCCGCAUUCUGGGCCUGCCGUCACUACUAGGAAAAAGGCUACUAGCAGCGCGGGUACCCGCGCUACUAGUAUCGCGCUACAGCUAAUAGUUAGUAGUAGCGCGGGUGAAACCCACACUACUACUAACAUUUCAGUAGUAGCGCGGGUGCAACCCGCGCUACUAGUAAUGAAAUAGUAGUAGCGCCUCAGGUUUUUUCCCACGCUACUACUAAAAAGUUAGUAGUAGCCUAGAUGCAAACCCACGCUACUACUAAUGAAGUAGUAGUAGCGCGUCUUGUUUUCCCACGCUACUACUAACUAAUUAGGAAUUAAAAAAAUAAAAUCCACCAAUUCCAUUCUAUGCAUACAAUUCCAACUAAAACAAACACAUAUUUGCAAUAAACCAACAACAAUACACAUCAUUACUAAUCCAAGAUUUAUAAUAAACCAGCGGCAUUAGAGCACAUCCUGUAAGAGCAUACAUAUUGUCAUGGCUUUUCAUGCCUUCAAUUAAAACACCUACACUUCUUGAAGUCACUUACUCCCAGCUAGUGCAAACACAGUUACAAGCAAACCAAAAUGCAUAAAAACACCAAACAGUGGCAUCCUAUCUCUCCAAAUGAUCCUCUCCCUCUGCAUCCUUGCAAGCAUCUUCACGAUAAGCAAAUCCGCAGGAAAAAAGUCAACUUAACAUGUACUCCCUCUGUCAACUAUCUAGAGUAGAUUUUAUCCAUU
rnacentral:lncRNA from 1 species